rnacentral:lncRNA from 1 species
GAGAAAAUGAUUAGGACGGAAGAGGAGAGGGUCGGGUAGGGAGGGAGGGUAAAACAGGGAGAUGGGGAGGGAGGCCGGAAGUAAUAGCUAAUACAGCGAAAAGGGAAGGGAUUGGAAAACACGGGAAUUUGGGGAUUAGGGGCGUAACCGAUUACGCGCGUAAUACCUAUUACAGCGAACCAAACGCCGGAAUAGGGGCGUAAUGUAAUACGCACGUAAUCGGGGCGUAAUGGAUUGGGUAAUACGGCGAACCAAACACAGUGUGAGUGUAUAUCAAAGGCGUAGUCAGAAUACAUACAUUUACCAUAAUGAUAUGUACACUCGGUCAUAUGGUUUUUUAUGAAUGUCAUUGAGUUAAUACAAAUUAUGAAUUUAGUAGGUGUUCAUUUAUGAAUUAAGUUAAGACAUGCGCACUUGACAUUUGGAUUUGUUUUAUUAGGUAAGUUUCUACGUGUCUUGAAUGCGUGCAAGUUGCCCAUAUUUAUGAGUGCUAUUUAUCUUAGUAUUUGGCUAAUAAAUCUAUUAACUAGGUGUAAGUUGAGAAUGUGUAUAAUGAUAUACAUGUAUUAACUAGCUGUAAGUUGGUUUAUAACCUAGUAAUUGCUUUUAAUAGUAAUAAAUUGUAAAUCAUGUGAUAUAUGUAUAGAUUACUAUGUUAAUGUCGCAAAUUUGAAAUUGGUGAUGCAAAUUAUAUUUCAUACCGUUACUUGUGAACGUAUGUCUAUUUAUUUUUACAUAUGAUAUGCGAUGUCCAAUUUAAAAGUUGUAUUAGUUUAUGUAAAUGAUUUGAUUUAACUUUCGAAACUUCAUUAUAUGAAUAAUUAUAUAUAUAAUUAUGUACAUAAUUGUUUGGAAUUAUGUUUUAUUCUAUAAUGCCUUAUGACUCUAUUUCGGUGAUGAAUACGAGUUAGGAGUGUUACAUUUUAUUGGUAUCAGAGCUACGACUUAGUCGGUUCUAGGACUAACGUAACGCGUGUGAGUCUAGCUAUACAUGCCAAAAUUAUAUUCUGUGAUAUUGUGAUGACUUCUGACAUUUGAAAUGUGUUUUCGUAUUGCAAAUGGAUCCCGACAGAGCUGUAACUGAUGAUGUCAAGAGUGUAGUGCGUACUCCCGGGCAAGGGACAGCGCUGGCUGAUUCUCGACCGACUUCGAGUAAUCAAGAAAGUGAGGGUAAACAAGCCUUCUAUCAAAUGAUGAAUGAUUGGUUCACUUAAUAUAUUCAGACUAACCCGAGUGCACAACAACCUCCACCCCCGAUUAAUCCAUCUUCAAUGCCUGCAGUACCUUAAGUAAGUGAUCUGUUGAGAUUGUAUAAGCCACUUGUUGAUAAAAUCAGAAAACAUGAGGCUGAAGAGUUUAAAGCUACUGAUGAUGAUGAUGCUGAGCGGGCUGAGUUCUGGAUUGAUAAUUCUUUCCGUGUGUUUGAUGAGUUGUCCUGUACCUCAGAUUAAUGUUUGAAAUGUGCCAUAACAUUGCUACGAGACAUAGCAUAUCACUGGUGGAAUACCCUAGUAUCAGUGGUCUUGAGAGAGUGGGUGACCUUGGAAUUCUUUCAUGCUGAGUUCCGUAAGAACUAUAUUAGCCAGUGAUUUAUCGACCAGAAGUGCAAGGAAUUUCUGGAGCUGAAACAAGGUCGGAUGACUGUGACAAAGUAUGAGUGGAAAUUCGUGAGACUCAGUCAAUAUGCCAGAGAGAGUGUUUCUACUGAAGCCAUAAUGUGUAAAAGAUUUGAAGAUGGGUUGAACGAAGACAUUAAACUGUUAGUUGGCAUACUUGAGAUAAAAGAGUUCGUGUACUGGUUGAGCGAGCUUGCAAAGCUGAAGAGCUCAGGAAAGAGAAAAGAAAAGCUGACUUUGAAGCUAGAGAUGCACGCAAAAGAACAUCCGGUAAGUCAUUCCAGUCAGCAUCAAAGAAGUUCUGAGAUGAUUUCAGCCGUUCUAAGGCCACUUCAGGUUACUCUAGACGGGAUCAGAAUAGACCACCAGUGAGCUCGAGGGCUACCUUAGUAGCUAGUGUGGGUAAUGUCAGAUCAAAUCAACCCGAGUGUAAACAUUGUGGCAAAUGACAUCCCGGCAAUUUUGAGUUACAUGAUAAAGCUUGAUUUAAAUGUGGAUCGAUGGAUCAUUAUAUUUGUGAUUGCCCAGUGCUAGCUGAGGAAAAUCCAGUACAGAAUACAAGAUCGGGUAAUACUGUAGCUCGAGGUAGACCACCCAGAAAUGCUGGUAAUGCGAGUGGUAGUUAGAGAGGGACUAAAGAUACAGCAAUCAGAUCUAAGGCUCGUGCGCCUGCCAGAGCCUAUGCUGUACGUGCACGAGAGGAGGCUUCAUCCCCAGAUGUCAUUAUUGGUGCAUUCACUCUUUACGAUACUAAUGUAAUUGCAUUGAUUGAUCCUAGUUCUACUCAUUCUUAUGUGUGUGAGACAUUAGCACUCAGCAAGACUCUACCUAUUACGUCUACUGAGUUUGUUAUUAGAGUUUUAAACACCUUGGGCCGGUGUGUUAUGGUUUACAAAGUGUGUAAGAAUUACCCCUUGAUGGUUCCAGACUUGUGUUUUUCGGAUGAUUUGAUGUUGCUGCCAUUUGAUGAGUUCGACAUAAUUUUGUGUAUGGAUUGGUUGACAUUACAUGAUGCUAUUGUGAACCGCAAGAGAAAGACCUUUGAUCUAUGGAGUCAAAAUGAUGAGGUUAUUUAGAUUGAAUUCAGUGAUUUGUAUGGUUUAGCAACAGUAAUUUCUUCGAUGCUAGCUAAGAAAUAUGUGAGAAAAGGGUGUAAAGCUUAUUUUUCCUACAUGCUUGAUAGGAAAGUGGCUGAAAGAAAUAUUGAAUCAGUGCCAAUUGUACGUGAGUAUCCAGAUGUGUUUCCUGAAGAAUUACCUAGUUUGCCACCUAUUCGGGAGGUAGAGUUUGGUAUUGAGUUAAUGCCUGGGACGACUCUGAUAUCCAUAGCUCCGUACAAAAUGACACUUACAGAAUUAAAAGAAUUGAAAGCUUAGUUGCAAGAAUUGAUAGAUAGAGGUUUCGCGCGAUCAAGUUUCUCUCCGUGGGGUGCACUUAUGUUGUUUGUGAAAAAGAAAGACGGAACUAUGAGAAUAUGCAUUGAUUAUAGACAGCUUAAUAAGGUGACUAUAAAGAAUAAGUAUCCAUUGCCGUGGAUUGAUAAUUUGUUUGACUAACUAAAAGGGGCUAUAGUAUUUUCGAAGAUGGAUUUGAGAUCAGGCUACUAUCAGUGGCGAGUUAAAGAUUUAGAUGUGCCAAAGACUGCUUUCAGAACGAGGUACGGACACUAUGAGUUUUUGGUUAUGCCAUUCGGACUCACUAAUGCACCUGUUGUUUUCAUGGAUUUGAUGAAUCAGAUCUUCAGGCCGUAUCUGGACUUGUUUUUGGUUUAUAGAUGACAUAUUGAUCUACUCUCGUCGUGAAACUGAACAUACUGAACAUUUAAGACUUGUGUUGCAGACUUUGCGAGAUAAGUAGUUGUAUGCGAAAUUCAGUAAAUGUGUGUUCUGGUUAAGUGAAGUCUGUUUUUUGGGUCAUGUGGAAUCAGCAUCGGGUAUUCGAGUUGAUCUGAGCAAAAUUUCAGCUAUACUUGAUUGGAAACCUCCGAAGAAUGUUUUUGAAGUCUAAAUUUUUUAGGACUUGCUAGUUAUUAUAGACGGUUCGUGAAAGGUUUCUUUAUGAUUGUAGCUCCGAUGACAAAGCUAUUACAGAAAGAUGUUAAAUUCGAAUGGUCCGAAAAGUGCCAGAAAAGUUUUGAUCAGUUGAAAGCCCUUUUGAUCGAAGCUCCAAUGCUAGUUCAGCCAGAAUCAGGUAAAAAAUUUGUUAUUUAUAGUGAUGCAUCUUUAAAUGGUUUGGGCUGUGUUUUGAUGCAAGAAGGCAAAGUGAUAGCUUAUGCCUCAAGACAAUUAAAGCCACAUAAAAAGAACUAUCUGACACAUGACCUAGAGUUGGUAGCUAUUGUGUUUGCAUUGAAAAUUUGGCGCCACUAUCUGUUUGGAGAGAAAUGUCAUGUUUAUUCUGAUCAUAAAAGCUUGAAAUACUUGAUGACUCAAAAAGAUCUGAAUUUGAGACAACAUCAAUGGUUAGAAUUGCUAAAAGAUUACAAGAUUGUGAUUGACUACCACCUGAGGAAGGCUAAUGUUGUUGUUGAUGCUUUAAAUAAAAAAUCACUAUUUACUUUGCGUGCAAUGAAUACACAUAUGGCUAUAUCUGAUGAUGGUUUGAUAAUAGCUGAAUUGAAAGUAGUUCAACAAAUUUGUGAUGCUCAGAAGGUCGAUAAUGAAUUACUAGUAGAACGAGCUCAGUGUGAUACAGAUGCUGAUUCGGAAUCCAGAGUUGAUACAGAUGACUGUUUGAGAUUCAAAAACUGAUUAUGUGUUCCGAGAAAAUCAGCGUUGAUUCAGAUGAUUUUGAAUGAGGUUUACAGCAGUGGUUAUCUGUUCAUCCAGGCAGCACAAAGAUGUAUAAUGAUCUGAACCAGCUUUAUUGGUGGCAUGGUAUGGAAUGAAACAUUUCUGAUUUUGUUGCAAGAUGUUUAGUCUGUCAACAAGUAAAAGCCGAACAUCAGGUACCUUUAGGAUUACUUCAGCUGAUUAUGAUACCAGAAUGGAAGUGGGAUAGAGUUACAAUGGACUUUGUAUCUGGUUUACUGUUGACACAGAGCAAGAAAGAUGCAAUAUGGGCUGUCGUAGAUAGAUUGACUAAAUCGGCUCAUUUUGUUCCGAUACGUAUAGACUACUCACUGGAUUGGCUGGCUGAAUUGUAUGUCUAUCAGACUGUGAGAUUACAUGGUAUGCCUAUAUCUAUUGUUUCGGAUAGAGAUCCGAGGUUUGCAUCGUGGUUCUGGAAGAAACUGCAAGAUGCACUAGGUAUGAAAUUACAUUUCAGUACUGCUUUCCAUCCGUAAAUAGAUGGCCAUUCUGAGCGAAUUAUUCAGAUACUUGAGGAUAUAUUGAGAUGUUGCAUUCUCGAGUUUCAAGGUACGUGGGAACGAUACCUACCUCUGAUUGAAUUUGUGUAUAAUAAUAACUUUCAAUCGAGUGUCAAAAUGGCACCUUAUGAGGCUUUGUGUGGUUGUAAAUAUUGUACACUGUUAUACUAGACUGAGCUCAGUGAAAAUAAGAUACACGGGGUCGAUUUGAUCAGAGAAACUAAACAGAAAGUGGAAGUGAUCCGUGAAAGUCUAAAAGCAGCAUUAGACCGUCAGAAAUCAUAUGCGGACUUGAAACGUAAAGAUAUAGAGUUUCAGAUCAGAGAUAAAGUCUUCUUGAAAGUCUUACCAUGGAAGAAAAUACUCAGAUUUGGUCGUAAAGGCAAAUUAAGUCUGAGGUUUAUUGGGUCGUAUGAAGUUAUAGAGCGUAUCAGGCCAGUUGCUUACAGAUUGUUGUUGCCACCUGAGUUAGAAAAGAUCCACAAUGUAUUCCAUGUCUCGAUGCUUCGUAAAUAUCGAUCUAACCUUUCGCAUGUGAUUUGUUUGUCUGAGAUUGAGAUCAAGCUCGAUAUGACGUAUGAGGAGGAACCAAUUGGUAUCCUGGCUCAAGAGAUUAAAGAGUUACGAAAUAAGAAGAUUUCGUUAGUUAAAGUAUUAUGGCUUAAACAUAGUGUUGAGGAAGCAACAUGGGAACCAGAAGCUGCAAUGAGAGAACGCUAUCCGAACCUAUUCACCGGUAAGAUUUUCAGGGAUGAAAAUCCCUAAGAGGGGAGAGUUGUAACAACCCAAUUUAGACCCUAAUUGGAACGAUGGUUUCAGGACCACGAAUCCGAGUCAAAAAAAUAUUUAAAAAUUAUCUACUAUGCUUAUUUUGUGUGAAUUGAUAUCUGUGAAAUUUUCAUGAUUUAAUUUUGUCGUUUAGGUGUCCGAUUAAAUAAAAAGGACUUAAUCGCAUAAAAUGAAACUUUGGUGGUUAAUUAUAAAAAGGGCCGAUAGUGAUUGUUCUUUUAAUAUGCGGGUUUUAUGUUGCAAUUAAACCAUUAACAUAUAUAGUGGACGGUAAUAGCCAAGUUUAAAAUGGUUUUAUAUUAUAUUAUAAAGGUUAUAUAUGUAAAUUACUUAAUAAACUUAUAUUAAUUAAAAACCAAAUUUAUCAUAUUCAUUAUUUAUCUUUGUUCACAAACUGAAUAAGAAAGAAAAGAAAAGAAACCUAGUUCGGCCAUCUUCCAAGCUAAAAUCAAGGUCCGUUCUUAGUUUUUGAUAAUUUCUACGUUUUUGAGAUCGUUGCUUCGAGUACUACAAAACCCAUGCUUUAAUUUUUGAUUUUGAUGAAUAUUUUCAGUUCUGCCAUUGUUGAUAGCUUUUGAUUUUUGUUGUUUGAUGAUGAAAUAUGAAAGAUAUGUUUUAGAUUAACAUGUUUUGUAUUCGAGUUUUUGAUGAUUUUGAGUAAUUAGGACUUAAUUGCAAAAAUAAUAACUUGAGGGACUAAAAUGUGAAAUUAAUGAAAUAUUUGGGCUUGUAUAGGUAUGGGUACGAUUCGGCCUAACAUGGAUACUUUGAAAUUUUUGUGUAUUUUGUGUUUUGUAUAAUAGGGACUAAAUUGUAAAAAAUGUAAAUGUCAGGGGUAAAAUGAUAAUUUGACCAUUUAUGUGUUUUUGGACUAAAUUGGAUGAAAAUAUGUUUGAAUGGGCUUAAUUUGAAUAUUUUUAGAUCAAGAACCAAAGAAAUCGGAUUUGGAUCAGGGAAAAGCGAAAGUUGUCAACUAGCAGCCCCGUCUAUUUUUACAACGUCCGAGGUAAGUUUAUAAGCAAAUAGACGUAUUUAAUUGUAGCUAAAUGUUAAUAUUAUAUGCUGGUAUGAAUUGUAUGAACAUAUAUAAGCUAUAGCCGAAUAUGAUCAAGCUUGGCUACUAUAUCUUCGAAUUGGUUUCGACCGAGUUACGAUGUCCAAAAGCCCCGUAUGAACCUUAGGAAUAGGUAGGAUACAUAUGUCAUGACAUAGGAUUCCGAUGCAUAUGUGUGAGUCUGACCAUGGCAUCGAUAUGUGAUUUCGAUAUGUGUUUACGAGUAAGACCCUGUCUAAGACAGUGGCAUCGAUAUGUUACUACAUGUAUGACCACGUCUGGGACGUUAGCAUUGUACGAUUUGUGUAAUUAUCCGAGUGUCCUAUCCAAUUCCAAAUGGCUCAUCGGGAAAAGGUAAAUCGCGACCAAAUGUGUAAAGGAGUUAAAAAGCCAGGUAUGGUUUAGCUUAUUAGCUAUUGUUAAUAAGGUAUGUGUGAGACUUGAAAUUUGAUAAGUUUUAUGUAAUGCAAAGGACAAAUAUAUAUGAAAUAAACAAGUAUAUUUGAUAUGAACAAAUGUUAUGAAUAUUAUGGAAUUAAUUUUGGAUAUAUAUGUAUAUAUGUGAUCAUAUAUGUGUUCGGCCAUACUAGUAGUAAAUGUACAUGAUAUUAUUAGUUGAAUUCUUGAGCUUAUGCGAAUAAGUAUGUACAUGUGUUUGAUUGUAUAGGGAUAUUAUAACCUAGAAAGUUGAUUUUACAUUCGGUUAAUAUGGUUGUGAUAGCAUUCGGCUAUGUAGUAUUAUGCAUAAGAAUGCAAUCAUUUAUUUCACUUGUAAGUUCGAAGUUAAGAUUGGCAUUGCUAAUACAAUUUGGCUUAACUUAAAAUGAAUCAAUUAUAUCAUGGAAUUGUUUAUUUGCUUUAAACUUACUAAGCUAUGUUAGCUUACUUUGUGUAUAUGAUUCUUUGUUUUAUAGAUUUUGGAAUCAAGUUACAAGCUUGGGGAUCAUCAGCAAAGUCUAUAACACUAUCUACAGCUUCGGUAUUUAAAUAAUCAAACUCGUAUUAUGGCAUAUAUAGGCAGGAUUUUGUUUUGAAAUAAUGAAAUUUAGUUAUGUAUAACGCCAUGCGAAAAUGGCUUAAUUUUAUGCUAGAUUUUUGGUUCUGGCAUUAAGUUUAUUUGGUUAUUUUGCUAUGUGCUAUGAAUGAAUAUCUCAUUUGUUAGGUGAUUGUACAUAGAAGUUGAUAAUGAUUUUAGUUGAAGCUUGAAGAAAUCGAUCAUAAGUAUGGUUGAUUACCUUGGUUGUGUUCAUUCUAAUAUGAAUUAGAAAGGUGAGAUUGAUUACAAUGUUUAGCCUUAAUUUGUUAUGUCUUUAAAUGAAACAUAUUAAUAAGCUUGAUUAUUUAUAAAAUGAUAAUAGAAGUCUUGUAUACGUGAGUAAUUUAUAGUAAUGAGGUUCGGCAAUGAUAAUAUGUUUUAGGUAUACUUAAUCCGUUUCUGAUAAAAUUAUGUAAUGUGAUAAUUAGUGAUGGAUGAAAGUAUACUAGUUAAAUAGAUUCGAUUAUUAAGUGUUAAAUGAUGUAUGUGGUUCAUGAUUAAAUUAGUCGACUAUUUGGUAUAUAUUUAUUGUUUUAAUGUUAAGUGUGGCUUUGGCAUAUGGGUAAUUGCACACCAUGUAUGUGUAUGUGAUAAUUUGGUUAUAAAUAAAUGUUUGGUUUUACAUUGAGUCUAUAUCAAGGGCGUAGUCAUAAUACAUACAUUUAUCAUGAUGAUAUGUACACUCGGUCAUAUGGUUCUUUAUGAAUGUCGUUGAGUUAAUACAAAUUAUGAAUUUAGUAGGUGUUCAUUUAUGAAUUAAGUUUAGACAUGCGCACUUGACAUUUGGAUUUGUUUUAUUAAGAAAGUUUCUACGUGUCUUGAAUGCGUGCAAGGUGUCCAUAUUUAUGAGUGCUAUUUAUCUUAGUAUGUGGCUAAAUAAAUCUACUAACUAGGUGUAAGUUGAGAAUGUGUAUAAUGAUAUACAUGUAUUAACUGAUUAAACCAAGAAAAAUAGUGAGUUGGUUUAUAACCUAGUAAUUGCUUUUAAUAGUAAUAAGUUGUAAAUCAUGUGAGAUAUGUAUAGAUUACUAUGUUAAUGCCACAGAGUUGAAAUUGUUGAUUCAAAUUAUAUUUCAUACCGUUACUUGUGAAUGUACAUCUAUUUAUUUUUACAUAUGAUAUGCAAUAUCUAAAUUUAAAAGUUGUAUUAGUUUAUGUAAAUGAUUUGAUUUAACUUUCGAGACUUGAUUAUAUGAAUAAUUAUAUAUAUAAUUAUGUACAUAAUUUUUUGGAAUUAUAUUUUAUUCUAUAAUGCCUUAUGACUCUAUUCCGACGACAGAUACGAGCUAGGGGUGUUACAGGUGGCUGAGCUGCAAAAUUAUUAGCACAAUUAGUGGUAAACUGUUUUAACGUAGAGGAAAUAGAUGAUACUUGAGCUGAUAGCGAAGUGAGGGCGUCAACUUCAUGAACUCCAACUACACGUCUUCCUGAAGCUGUUCGAUUUCUUGGCCAUUGAUAGUUAUUACUCUCAAUCCUCUCAAUGAUCUCAUAGGCCUCGUUAUAAGACUCAGACAAAAUUGCACCAUUCAUAAAAGCAUCUACCAUCAAUCUUGUAUGUGCAUUGAGACCAUUAGAGAAUUUCUCCAACUUGAUAAGGACACUUACAAAGUAACUCCUUGAAUCGCUUCCAAGCCUCAUACAAAGACUCGUCAUCCAAUUGUUGGAAAGUUGUGAUCUCGUUCCUCAACUUAGCGUUUUUCCUAGGCGGGAAAUACUUAACCAAAAAUCUCUCUGCCAAUUCUUGCCAUGUAGAUAUGGAACUUGGUGGCAAUGAAUUGAGCCAUGCUUGUGCUCGAUCUCAUAACGAGUACGGAAACAAAUUCAACCUCAGUGCGUCUUCAAUCACACUGAUUAUCUUGAAUGAAUCACUCACCUCCAUAAACAAUCGAAGGUGGAGAUGUGUAUCUUUUGUGGGCAUACCACUAAAUUGGCCCACUGUUUGGAGCAUUUGAAACAUCACUAGUUUCAAUUCAAAUUGGGUUGCCUUAAUAUUUGGCCUUCUAAUUCUUGGAUUCAACUCACUAAAAAGUGGCACAGCAUAUUGUCUGAUGCAUCGAUCCCUAUCAUCGGCAAUGAGGAUAGGAUUUCGUACAUGAUCAGCUUCAUUACCUUGAUCUUGAUUCUGAUUUCCAUGGUCCAUCUUGACUUGUCUUUGAGCUGUUUGUUCACGUCUUCUUUGUCUGAAAGUUCACUCAAUUUCAGGGUCUACAAAGAGUAAAUUGAUAAUUCGAUCUGUAACGCCCCGUACCCGAGACCGUUGCCGGAGUCGAACACGAGGUGUUAACGGACUUAAUUCAUUUACUUACACAGUUCAUUUUAAAAUUUCUAGACAAGCUGGCUAACUGGAUCACAGUUACUUUAAAAAUCACAUCUUGAGUUCCAAAACUCGAAAACCGAUUCUGUAAAUUUUUCCUGAAACUAGACUCAUAUGUCCAACUACAUAUUUUAUUCUAGAAUUUUUGGUCUGGCCAAUUAGUACAGUUUAUUAGUUAAAAUCUCCCCUUUUUCAGGGUUCGACUACUCUGACCUUCAUGCAUUACGACUUAGAUAUCUCCCUGUACAGAGCUUCAAUACUUAUGAUGUUUAUUUCUAAUGAAACUAGACUCAAAAAGGAAUCUGUACAUAUAAGGACUGACUUCUAAUUAUCUCUGGUUAAGUUAUGGUGAAUUUCUAAAAUCGGAACAGGGGAUCCAGAAAAUGCUCUAGCCCUAUUUCACGAAAACUUAAAUAACUCAUAAAAUACGGCAUAUAUGGUCGUUUCGUUUCUUUCAUAUGAAAAUAGACUCAUCAAGAUUCGAUUACAUAAUUUAUUCACUAUUUAAUUCCAUUCCUACUAUUUUUAGUGAUUUUUCAAAUUCACAUCACUGCUGCUAUCAGCAUAUAUUUAAGGUGAAAUUUACCUAUUUCAUAAUUUUCCAAGAAUCAAUUAGUAAAUUGACAUACAUUAUUUUCAAGUAUAAUCACGAUUAGCCAUGACGUACGUAGCACCAAUAGGACCAUGAUCGGCCAUUCCAAUCGCUAAUCAUUACCAAGCAUUUCCACACCACUUAAUAACCAUGUCAUAAGACCAUAUAUAUACAAAAUGACCAUAAUGUUAUACUCAAAAUAUACGAGCCAUUUUCGCAUGGCUACACGAAUAUACAUUACCAAAAGAUACUUGAAUAACAACAAGGGUCAGCCCUACACAUGCCAUUAUCAAAAUUCAACUAAAGGAGUACCAAAAGGGCUUAGAUAGUGUGGACGACUUCGACUUCGACACUCCCGAGUCCGAUAGUUGACGAACAAAAUCUAUAAAAUAGAGAAUUAAAGCAACAGAAUAAGCAUUUGGAUGCUUAGUAAGUUUUAAGUAAUGAAAUUAUUCACAACUAAAGUAUAGCGUUUGUAUGACUAAAUGAAUGAUUGCGUAUAUGCAUAUUCCAAAAAUCAUGUUUACUUCACGCUUCAGCCAUUAGAUUCAUACACUUAGGAUCAAACCUAACUAAAGGCCAGAAGCUUGUUAAUCAAUUGAACGAAUACUAUUUAAAAAGGAAUCAACUUUUCCGAUGCAUAUACGAAACAUACCUUAUCGUUUGGAUUUUAUGAGCGUAUUAAUUGAAAUUAUUACAGCAAGAUCACUCAUUUCCAAACCCAAGUACCUUUGGGAUUUAGCCGGAUAUAGCAACUCGCACAAAUGCCUUCGGGUCUUAGCCCGGAUAUAGUCACUAGCACAAAUGCCUUCGGGACUUAGCCCGGAUAUAGUCACUAGCACAAAUGCCUUCGGGACUUAGCCCGGAUAUAGUCACUAGCACAAAAUGCCUUCGGGUCUUAGCCCGGAUAUCAUCCGAAUAAUCAUGCACAUAUAUCAAUAAAUCAUAACACAUCUAUUUUUCAUUUUCGUUACUAGAACUCAAACACAAGACACUUAUCAACCAUUACCAUUUUCGGCUCAAUAGCCACAUACAAAGAGCAUGAUUUUGAUUUGCUUCAUAACAUGAUCUCUUUACACAUUCGGCUACUAGUCAUAGUAUAAACUAAUUUCCUCGAUAUAUAAUUUAAGUAGAAUCAUUACAUCAUCGUUUAUUUGUUAUGAUUAUAUGUCAUGGCUUAAUCAAAUCAUAAACUAAGUUCCAUUACUCAAAGACUUACCUCGGAUGUUGUCGAACGACUUCAGCGGCUAUUCGAUUACUUUUUCCUUUCCUUUAUCAGAUUUAGUUCCCCUUUGCUCUUGAGCUUAAUUUAACAAAUAAAUUGAUUUAAUCAUUUUGAACAUCAAAGAGAAAUUCAAGGUACUUAGCCCUUAUAUAUAUUAGACAUUAGAGUCAUCACACAGGUACAAAACAUAGCCGCAAAAGUCUUUAGCAUAAUUACCUAUAAUAACAUCCAAAUCAUUAAUUUUGUUAACACACGCAUAACACAUAAAGUUAACUAAAGCUAUAUUCCCUUAUAAGGUAGUAUCCUUAAUGAGCUCAUACCAUGACUAUACCUAACCGAAUUCAAGUAAAGAAUUUAGUACAAUCACACAUAUUCACUAAUGUUUAAUUCUAGCAUGCUUUCAUAUCUUAUAUACCUCAUUCGACCCUAACCGCUCAACUUAACUUAUAUAUACAAAUUCCAUCUCGAAAUUAAAAGUAGCAAAAAUUCAAUCAGGUUACAAUAAUGCCCAUCAAUGACCGAAUUACUCAAUCAUAUCUAUAACCGAUUUUCUAUCUUGUUCAUAUUAAUAGCCAAUAUCAACAUUAAUGCCGAAUGCUUAAGCACAACUAAACUAAAAAUUUACCCAACAUCAUUUUAAUUUGCCAUUUCCUACUCUUCAAAUUAUCAAUUACAAGGUGAUUUACAUCUAUAUAUUAAACCAAACUUUCUAGCACACAAAAUUCCUUAACCGAAUGUUAUAAACCCAAGCCACACAUAUUGUUCAUUAAGACCCUUCAAUGGCCACAUUCGGCACCUCCCUAUGAAGAAACCAAUUUCAACCUUCAAGAAAAAGAAAAGAAAUAUAUGUACUAGGAGCUUCAACUACUUGGCCGAAUAUCAAACCUCCAAACAACCAAAACUUAAUCCAUGGAAUGAAUAGAACUUGAACUAAUCACCUUAUUUAUGCAUAAAUUUUUAAGAAUUUCAAAGUACUUACCUCUUCCUAAACAUCAACCCAGCCGAACAUGAAACAAGAGAAUUCUUUUCUUCUUCCUCCCUCAAGUCACGGCAAUAGAGGAGCAAGGAUGAAACAACUUUUGUUUCUCCUCCCACUCACCUCAUGUUUUAUUAUUCUUAAUUCAUUAUUUUAUUUUGUAAACUAAAAAUGUUAAUAGAAAAAUACAUAUUAUCAAUAAUAGCCCAUACCAUGGCCGGCCACUACUUAUCAUAAAUGGAAAUUUGACAUGCAAACCCAUCAUUUUUACAACAUGCAUUAAUAGAUCCUUAUAGAUUAACCUAUCACAUUUCAAAAGUGUCACACAUAAGUCCUAUUAACUAAAUUCACAUGCAAUCGACUAAAUCGAAGCUUAAAACUUUCACACAUUCAUAUUCACAUGUUUUAGACAAUAAAUAUCAUAUUCAAAUACUUCGGUGACUCGGUUUAGCGGUCCCUAAACCACUUUCCGACUAGGGUCAAUUUAGGGCUGUCACAACUCUCCCCCACUUAAGAAAUUUUCGUCCCCGAAAAUCUUACUGGUAAAUAGGUUUGGGUAUCGUUCUUUCAUAGAGUUCUCGGUUUCCCAAGUAGCUUCUUCGAUCCCGUGUUUGACCCAUAACACCUUUACUAACGGAACCCUUUUGUUUCGCAACUCUUUCACCUCACGAGCUAGGAUACGAAUCGGUUCCUUUUCAUAACUCAAAUCAGAUUCAAUUUCAACCUCUGAGGGAUUAAUUAUGUGCGAAGGAUCAGAUUUGUAACGUUGAAGCAUCGAAACAUGAAAAACGUUGUGAAUCUUUUCGAGAUCAGGGGGUAAAAUCAAUCUAUAUGCCACUGGACCAAUUCGUUCGGAUAUUUCAUACGGCCCUAUGAACCUUGGACUCAGUUUGCCCUUACGGCCAAAUCUGAGAAUCUUUUUCCAAGGUGAAACUUUAAGAAACACUUUGUCUCCCACCUGAUACUCAAUAUCUCUUCGUUUUAAAUCCGCAUACGACUUCUGACGAUCUGAAGCUGCCUUCAGACUGUCACGAAUUAUCUUUACUUUCUGCUCAGCAUCUUUAAUCAAAUCAACUCCGAAAAUUUUACUUUCACCGAGCUCGGUCCAAAACAAUGGCGUACGGCAUUUACGACUGUACAAAGCCUCGUAAGGUGCCAUCUUAAUACUUGAUUGAAAACUUUUGUUGUAAGCGAAUUCAAUCAAAGGUAAAUACCGCUCCCAUGAACCACUAAACUCAAGGAUGCAACAUAUCAACAUAUCCUCGAGUAUCUGAAUUAUUUGUUCGGAUUGACCAUCGGUCUGAGGAUGAAAAGCGGUGCUAAAAUGCAACUUGGUACCCAAAGCUUCUUGCAAUUUCUUCCAAAAUCGCGAGGUGAACCUCGGAUCUCUAUCCGACACAAUAGAAAUAGGUACCCCGUGUAAUCUUACAAUCUGAGAAACAUACAAUUCAGCUAGUUUACCCAGUGAAUAAUCCGUAUGUACAGGGAUAAAAUGAGCCGACUUUGUCAGUCUAUCAACAACAACCCAAAUCGCAUCUUUCUUAUUUGCUGACAACGGCAACCCAGAUACAAAAUCCAUUGUGACUCGAUCCCAUUUCCAUUCAGGUAUCAUGAUUGGCUGAAGUAAACCUGUAGGCACUUGAUGUUCCGCUUUCACUUGUUGAGAUAUUAAACACUUCGAAACAAAAUCGGAAAUGUCUUGUUUCAUACCAUGCCACCAAAACUGACAUCUCAGAUCGUUGUACAUUUUCGUACUCCCCGAGUGAAUUGACAUUCGGCUACAAGGAGCCUCGUUCAGAAUUGUCGAAAUAAGUUCUGAAUUUCUUGGAACACACAAACGAAUUCUGAACCUCAAACAAUCGUCAUCAUCAAUUUGAAACUCUGAUUCCUUAUUCGAAACACUUUCAGCCCGUUUUGCAACCAAUUCAUCAUCGACUUUCUGAGCUUCACGAAUUUGAUGAAUCAACAAUGGUUUGGCCUUUAUUUCUGCUACUAACACAUUAUCGGAUAGAACCGACAAAUGUACAUUCAUCGCUCAUAAAGAAAAUAGUGAUUUAAGACUUAAGGCAUCCGCAACCACAUUAGCCUUUCCCGGGUGAUAGUCAAUGACAAGCUCAUAAUCUUUUAACAACUCGAGCCAACGUCUUUGUCGCAGAUUCAAAUCUCUUUGAGUCAUCAAAUAUUUGAGACUUUUGUGAUCCGAAAAUACAUGGCACUUCUCACCAAAUAAGUAAUGUCUCUAUAUUUUCAAAGCGAAUACGAUGGCAGCUAGUUUGAGAUCAUGGGUUGGAUAAUUUUUCUCAUGUGGCUUCAAUUCCCUCGACGCAUAAGCUACAACUCGACCUUCUUGCAUCAAUACACAACCCAACCCAAGUAAGGAUGCGUCACUGUAAAUGACAAACUCUUUGCUUGAUUCAGGCUGCACUAGCACUGGAGCUUCAGUCAAGUAAGUUUUUAGUUGAUCGAAACUUUUCUGACAUUUUUCUGACCAUUCGAACUUAACAUCUUUCUGAAGUAGCUUCGUCAUUGGUGUGGCUAUCAUUGAGAAACCCUUUACAAACCGUCUGUAGUAACUGGAAAGUCCCAAAAAGCUCUGAACCUCAGUAAUAUUUCUCGGAGGCUUCCAGUUAAGUAUGGCUGAAAUUUUGCUCGGAUCAACUCGAAUACCCGAUGCAGAUACCACAUGACCCAAAAAGCUAACUUCUCUCAACCAGAACUCACAUUUACUGAACUUAGCAUAUAACUGCUUAUCCCGUAAAAUCUGCAACACAAAUCUCAAGUGCUCAGCAUGUUCGGUUUCAUCUUUCGAAUAGACCAAAAUGUCAUCAAUAAACACAACUACAAACCAAUCCAAAUACUGUCUGAAGAUCCGAUUCAUCAAAUCCAUAAAUACCGCAGGGGCAUUAGUGAGCCCAAACGGCAUCACUAAGAACUCGUAGUGACCGUAUCUCAUUCUGAAAGCAGUUUUGGGUAUAUCCGAAUCUCGAAUUCGCAACUGAUAAUAACCCGAUCUCAAAUCUAUCUUUGAAAACACUGAGGCUCCCUUUAGUUGAUCAAACAAAUCAUCAAUACGCGGUAACAAAUAUUUAUUCUUCAUUGUCACUUUAUUCAGUUGACGAUAGUCGAUGCACAACCUCAUGGUUCCGUCCUUCUUUUUCACAAACAAUACUGGUGCACCCCAAUGCGAGAAACUUGGUCGAGCGAAACCUCUAUCCAUCAACUCUUGCAACUGAGCUUUCAAUUCCUUUAAUUCCAUUGGUGCCAUACGAUACGGAGCUAUCGAAAUCGGUGUAGUCCCAGGUACAAGUUCGAUGCCAAACUCUACCUCCCGAACAGGUGGUAACCCCGAUAAUUCUUCGGGAAAAACAUCCGGAUAUUCACAAACCACUGGUACCGAUUCAAGUUUCUUUUCUGGUUCUUUAUUAUCAAAUACGUAUGCAAGAUACGCUUCACACCCCUUUCUCACAUAUUUUUGAGCUAACAUCGAGGAUAUUAUUGUUGGCAAUCCAUUCAAAACAGUAGACUCGACUCGGAUUAUCUCAUUAUUUGCACACCUCAAAUCAAUAGUCUUACUUUUGCAAUUCACAACUGCAUCAUGUACGGUCAACCAAUCCAAACCGAGAAUAACAUCAAAUUCAUCAAACGGUAAAAGCAUCAAGUCAGCCGGAAAAUAGGAGCCUCGGAUUAUUAAGGGGCAUUUCUUACACACCUUGUCGACAAACACAUAACGACCCAAGGGAUUCGACACUCGAAUUACGAACUCAGUAGACUCAACAGGUAAAGUCUUACUGGAUGCUAAGGUCUCACAUACAUAUGAAUGAGUAGAACCAGGGUCAAUCAAUGCAAUCACAUUAGUAUCAAAGAGAGUGAAAGUACGGGUAAUAACAUCUGGCGAGGAAGAAUCCUCGCGUGCGUGUAUAGCAUAAGCUCUAGCAGGAGCACGAGCCUCAGAUCUGGUUGUAGCAUCUCUAAAUCCUCUCUGACUGCCACUGGCAUUCCCCAUAUUUCUAGAUGGUCUACCCCGAGCAGUAGUAGCACCUGGUUUCCCACUCUGAUUUACAUUUUGUUCAGACAGUCUCGGGCAAUCCUUGAUAAAAUGGUCAGCUGAUCCGCACUUAUAACAGGAGCGGUCAUGGAAUCUACAACUCCCCGAAUGCCAUUUACCACAAUACUGGCACUCCGUUCUGUCUCGACGAUCAUUUCCAACACUGACAACCGAAGUAACUCGUGUACUCACAAGGGGUCGAUCACGAUCUCGUCUAGAAAAGCCCGAAGUACCUUUAGACCGGCCUAAAUCAUCUCUAACUUUCUUCAAAAACUGUUGAAAGGGCUUUCCCGAAGAUCUCUUAUGAAACUCCUUUGCUCCCAUAUCAUCUUUUCUUUUCUCCUUACUGAGCUCUUCGGCUUUGCAAGCUCGCUCGACAAGUACCACAAAUUCUUUGAUUUCUAAAAUGCCAACACACAGUUUUAUAUCUUCGUUCAGUCCAUCUUCAAAACGUUUACACAUUACAGCUUCUGAGGAAAUGCAUUCUCGAGCGUACCGGCUAAGCCUUACAAACUUUUGUUCAUAAUCAGUAACCGACAUGGAACCUUGUUUAAGUUCAAGAAAUUUUUUCCGUUUUUGAUCAAUGAAUCUCUGGCUGAUAUACUUUUUUCGAAACUCGAUUUGGAAAAACUCCCAAGUUACUUGCUCUCUGGGCACAACCGAAAUCAACGUAUUCCACCAAUAGUAGGCAGAAUCACGUAGCAAGGAGAUAGUACACUUUAGGCAUUCAUCGGGUGUGCAAGAUAGUUCAUCAAGGACCCGACUAGUGUUGUCCAACAAAAAUUCAGCUUGCUCGGCAUCAUCGCUGUCUGUAGCUUUAAAUUCAGUAGCUCUGUGUUUUCGAAUUCUGUCAACUGGGGGCUUAUUUAACCUCAUCUUGUCAUUACCUGAGGUAUCGCAGGUGCAGGGGUUGUAUUAGUCGGGAGUGGGGGUUGUGGAACAGCCGUAUUAGUUCGAAUAUACUGAUUGAACCAAUCAUAAAUCACGCUAUAAAAAGCCUGUCUAGCUUCAUCAUUCUGAUUACUAGCAAUAGGUUGAGAGUCCACCGGCGCUGUCCCUUGCGCGGGAGCAGGCGCUACACUCUCAACAUCAUCAGCUACCGCUCGGUUGGGAUCGGGAUCCAUUACUAUAAGUAAACAUAUUUUUAACUGUCAGAAAUCACCACACUAUCAAAUAAACACAUAAUGGCAUGUAUAGCUAAACCCGAACGUAUUACGGUAGUCCUAGAAUCGACUAAACCGUAGCUCUGAUACCAAUAAAAUUGUAACGCCCCGUACCCGAGACCAUUGUCGGAGUCAAACACGAGGUGUUAACGGACUUAAUUCAUUUACUUACACAGUUCAUUUUAAAAUUUCCAGACAAGCUGGCUAACUGGAUCACAGUUACUUUAAAAAUCACAUCUCGAGUUCCAAAACUCGAAAACUGAUUACGUAAAUUUUUCCUGAAACUAAACUCAUAUGUCCAUCUACAAAUUUUUUUCUAUAAUUUUUGGUCAGGCCAAUUAGUACAGUUUAUUAGUUAAAAUCUCCCCUAUUUCAGGGUUUGACUACUCUGACCUUCAUGCAUUACGACUUAGAUAUAUCCCUGUACAGAGCUUCAAUACUUAUGCUGUUUGUUUCUAAUGAAACUAGACUCAAAAAGGAAUCUGUACAUAUAAUGCAUGACUUCUAAUUAUCUCUGGUUAAUUUAUGGUGAAUUUCUAAAAUAGGAACAGGGGAUCCAGAAAACGCUCUGGCCCUAUUUCACGAAAACAUAAACAUCUCAUAAAAUACGGCUUAUAUGGUCGUUUCAUUUCUUUCAUAUGAAAAUAGACUCAUCAAGAUUCGAUUACAAAAUUUAUUAACUAUUUAAUUCCAUUCCUACUAUUUUUAGUGAUUUUUCAAAUUCACAUCACUGCUGCUGUCAGCAUAUAUUUAAGGUAAAUUUUACCUAUUUCAUAAUUUUCCAAGAAUCAAUUAGUAAAUUGACAUACAUUAUUUUCAAGUAUAAUCACGAUUAGCCAUGACGUACGUAGCACCAAUAGGACCAUGAUUGGCCAUUCCAAUGGCUAAUCAUUACCAAGCAUUUCCACACCACUUAAUAACCAUGUCAUAAGACCAUAUAUAUACAAAAUGACCAUAAUGUUAUACUCAAAAUAUACGAGCCAUUUUCGCAUGGCUAUACGAAUAUACAUUACCAAAAGUUACUUAAAUAACAACAAGGGUUAGCCUUAUACAUGCCAUUGUCAAAAUUCAACUAAAGGAGUACCAAAAGGGCUUAGAUAGUGUGGACGACUUCGACUUCGACACUCCCGAGUCCGAUAGCUGACGAACAAAAUCUAUAAAACAGAGAAUUAAAGCAACAGAAUAAGCAUUUGGAUGCUUAGUAAGUUUUAAGUAAUGAAAUUAUUCACAACUAAAGUAUAGCGUUUGUAUGACUAAAUGAAUGAUUGCGUAUACGCAUAUUCCCAAAAUCAUGUUUACUUCACGCUUCAGCCAUUAUAUUCAUACACUCAGGAUCAAACCUAACUAAAGGCCGGAAGCUUGUUAAUCAAUUGAACGAAUACUAUUUAAAAAGGAAUCAACUUUUCUGAUGCAUAUACGAAACAUACCUUAUCGUUUGGAUUUUAUGAGCGUAUUAAUUGAAAUUAUUACAGCAAGAUCACUCAUUUCCAAACCCAAGUACCUUCGGGAUUUAGCCGGAUAUAGCAACUCGCACAAAUGCCUUCGGGUCUUAGCCCGGAUAUAGUCACUAGCACAAAUGCCUUCGGGACUUAGCUCGGAUAUAGUCACUAGCACAAAUGCCUUCGGGACUUAUCCCGGAUAUAGUCACUAGCACAAAAUGCCUUCGGGUCUUAGCCCGGAUAUCAUCCGAAUAAUCAUGCACAUAUAUCAAUAAAUCAUAACACAUCUAUUUUUCAUUUUCGUUACUAGAACUCAAACACAAGACACUUAUCAACCAUUACCAUUUUCGGCUCAAUAGCCACAUACAAAGAGCAUGAUUUUGAUUUGCUUCAUAACAUGAUCUCUUUACACAUUCAGCUACUAGUCAUAGCAUAAACUAAUUUCCUCGAUAUAUAAUUUAAGUAGAAUCAUUACAUCGUCGUUUAUUUGUUAUGAUUAUAUGUCAUGGCUUAAUCAAAUCAUAAACUAAGUUCCAUUACUCAAAGACUUACCUCGGAUGUUGUCGAACGACUUCAGCGGCUAUUCGAUUACUUUUUCCUUUCCAUUAUCAGAUUUAGUUCCCCUUUGCUCUUGAGCUUAAUUUAACAAAUAAAUUGAUUUAAUCAUUUUGAACAUUAAAGAGAAAUUCAAGGUACUUAACCCUUAUAUAUAUAUUAGACAUUAGAGUCAUCACACGGGUACAAAACAUAGCCGCAAAAGUCUUUAGCAUAAUUACCUAUAAUAACAUCCAAAUCAUUAAUUUUGUUAACACACGCAUAACACAUAAAGUUAACUAAAGCUAUAUUCCCUUAUAAGGUAGUAUCCUUAAUGAGCUCAUACCAUGACUAUACCUAACCGAAUUCAAGUAAAGAAUUUAGUACAAUCACACAUAUUCACUAAUGUUUAAUUCUAGCAUGCUUUCAUAUCUUAUAUACCUCAUUCGGCCCUAACUGCUCAACUUAACUUAUAUAUACAAAUUCCAUCUCGAAAUUAAAAGUAGCAAAAAUUCAAUUAGGUUACAAUAAUGCCCAUCAAUGACUGAAUUACUCAAUCACAUCUAAAACCAAUUUUCUAUCUUGUUCAUAUUAAUAGCCAAUAUCAACAUUAAUGCCGAAUGCUUAAGCACAACUAAACUAAAAAUUUACCCAACAUCAUUUUAAUUUGCCAUUUCCUACUCUUCAAAUUAUCAAUUACAAGGUGAUUUACAUCUAUAUAUUAAACCAAACUUGCUAGCACACAAAAUUCCUUAACCGAAUGUUAUAAACCCAAGCCACACUUAUUGUUCAUUAAGACCCUUCAAUGGCCACAUUCGGCACCUCCCUAUGAAGAAACCAAUUUCAACCUUCAAGAAAAAGAAAAGAAAUCUAUGUACUAAGAGCUUCAACUACUUGGCCGAAUAUCAAACCUCCAAACAACCAAAACUUAAUCCAUGGAAUGAAUAGAACUUGAACUAAUCACCUUAUUUAUGCAUAAAUUUUUAAGAAUUUCAAAGUACUUACCUCUUCCUAAACAUCAACCCAGCCGAACAUGAAACAAGAGAAUUCUUUUCUUCUUCCUCCCUCAAGUCACGGCAAUGGAGGAGCAAGGAUGAAACAACUUUUGUUUCUCCUCCCACUCGCCUCAUGUUUUAUUAUUAUUAAUUCAUUAUUUUAUUUUGUAAACUAAAAAUGUUUAUAGAAAAAUACAUAUUAUCAAUAAUAGCCCAUACCAUGGCCGGCCACUACUUAUCAUAAAUGGAAAUUUGACAUGCAAACCCAUCAUUUUUACAACAUGCAUUAAUAGAUCCUUAUAGAUUAACCUAUCACAUUUCAAAAGUGUCACACAUAAGUCCUAUUAACUAAAUUCACAUGCAAUCGACUAAAUCGAAGCUUAAAACUUCCACACAUUCAUAUUCAUAUAUUUUAGACAAUAAAUAUCAUAUUCAAAUACUUUGGUGACUCGGUUUAGCGGUCCCGAAACCACUUUUCGACUAGGAUCAAUUUAGGGUUGUCACACGAUCUAUGCUCAUAAAGAACUUAAAAGAAAAUCACAAACUUAAAAAGAUUAAGUUAGUAAUGUUAGAAAUAAAUCAAAUUGAAAAUCAAUAAUUUCACGAAAGAAAUUACUAUAGCAACAGUUGACAAUCCCCAGCAACAGUGCCAAAAACUUGUAUCACUGAGGUUUGUGCAAGUGUACACAGUCAUUAUCAAGUAAUAAGUAAGUAUCGAGUUAUCGUCUCCACAGGGAUUGUAUUUGUGCUAAGUCACUUAAUUUGUAAAAUUAUAUUAACAAUUUGGUAAAUAAAAACACAAUUUAGUUGAGAAGUGAUAAUUAAAAUAUAUUAAACUACAUGAAAUGAUCCCUAAUGCAAAUUAACCUAAGUACACAAACUAUAUGAAUGAAAUAGAUUUUAGCAAAAUUAAACACAAUUUGCAACAAUUAUAACAUAAAUAAACUAGGACAAUUACUUUAAUUAAACUCAACUUAUUAUCAACAUGCUUAAUAAUAUUUGAAAAACCAUUCCAUGGCAACUCGAUCUUUCAUGAGUUUGGAAACCAUGUUAGGUCCUUUCGGAAUCCUUUACUUUGUAAAUAUGAAUUAUACUGAUCCUUAUUUACUAAGGGUUUCUUAGUAUUUGUGCAAGGUAACAGUGACGUGUUAGGUUUGAAACAGUUUAAUCACACAAAUCUAAAAACUAUGCAGAUAACAGAGCCUGGUUAGGAUUGUUAUACAACCUGUAAUUUAAUCGGGUUAGCAUCUAAAUUGAGCAUGUACAUUUCAAGUAUGCAUCUACUAGCCGUCGUCUGGUUAGGAUCGCUCAGCUAGUUCAGGUGCAUUUCAAUCACGUAUGAACGAAAUAUAGACUUGAUUUUAAUUGAAAACAUGAUCCAUUAAGGCACAAACAUUAUAACUAUGAAUUUAAUAAAUAUUAUUUAAUCAAAGCUGUCAUCCUAGCUAAAAUGAAAUUAAGCUAACAUUGUUGUAAACAAGAAAAAAGGACACAUAGCAAACAUCUUUAAAUUAAAGAAAAGAAAAGAAAGACUAAACCCAAUUUAGAGUGGCUGUCACCCAACACUCUGAUUGACGAGUCUUAUUUGUUCCUUUUCUUCGCUCCUUUGCCAAUGGCUCUCCAAGGUGGCUGACCAAGGGUUCUUUAAGAGGCUAAAAUGCUAAAAUAUUUAUGAAAAGAUGAUGAUAGGUGUGGGGAGAAAAUAAAAAUGUUAAGAGAAUGAAUGAGGAAUGAGGAAUGAGGGAUGAGUAGAAAUGAGAGAAUGAGGUCUUAUUUAUAGGUGAGGAAAGGGGGAUAGUUUACUAAAAAUAGGAGUUUUCAUCUUUUGAAGCAUCUUCCAUGGGUGGUUGGCCAUAAAUUAAGAAAGUUGAGCUGAUUUUUGCUUGAUUUUUGGUCAAUUUGAAUGCCAUAACAACUUAGGACUGAGACUCAAUCAAGUGCAAAUCUUUAGGUAAAUCCCUAAUUUCUUUAAAUCUUCAAGGACCUUGUGCAAUUAAACCAAAAAAUGGUUUUUGGACAACCAUGUGCAGCCGAAUUUUGGGUUGACUUGGUCCUCAAUUUGAACGGUUUUGUAAUCCAAAAAAUGUAACACCCCUUACCCAUAUCCGAGGCUAGGACAGGAUACUAGGCAUUACCCGACUUAAACAUACACAAUCACAUAAAAUCAGCCAUAAAAUUUCAUUCAAAUCAAAAAAUUUAUACAUAUGUAUAACAUCCCUUAAAUGGGCUUACGAGGCCCUAAACAUGCAUUGGAGAUGAUUCGAGAUGAAACUGAAAACUUUGAAAACUUUUGGGAAAACUUAGAAAAAUUCAUCAUAAAAUAUGGUCACACGCCCGUGUGGGUAGGCUGUGUGAUUACACAUGCCCGUGUCCUCUGCCUGUGUAACUCUCUGUUUAUGACAUCAGUAACAAAAUAGAGUUACACAGCCAAGUCACACGCCCAGGUGUAAGCCGUGCCCUCCACACGGCUGAGACACACGGCCGUGCCUCUGUCCGUGUGGCCAAGAAAGUGGCUAUUUACCAAGCCAUUUGACACCCUUAUUUGUACAUACUUAAACAUAAUUUUAAUGGCACUUUUCAUGGCAUAAUUGAGCAUUUAAACAUCAUCAAACAAGUCAUGAUCAUGGUGAUUUCAUAUCAAUUUAUUCAUGCAUAAGGUACCAUACUUUGCCUAGUUUAAACUUAUCAAACUUUUAUGCCAUGACUAUCAUUAACCUAUUCUCUUAUUUCAUACUUAUGCCAAUUAUGUCAUCAACCAAUUAUCAAGUACCUAAACCAUAUCCACACACCUAUCCAUAUUAAACAACAUUAUCACAUCACAUGACCUUUGGCACAUGCAAGUGCAUAUAAUUAGGCAUUACAACCCAAAUAGUCAAUAUAAGCCACAUCUCAUGACUAUAUAUACAAAAUGAAUCAAUAUAUCAUUAUAAGCCAAUAGAUUUGGCCAAAUCAAAUGACACAUACACAAUUGACUAAGCCCCUAUACAUGCCAUAAACUCAUUUGCUUGAAUACUUAUACCCCAAAUGGUAGCUUGAUAGUGUGAUUGAAUCUCUGGCGAUCUCCAACCCGAGCUAACUAAAUAAACCUAUAAGAGAUGGGAAAUGAAAGGGAGUAAGCUAUAUAGCUUAGUAAAUCCGUAUGAAAAUAAUAACCAACUUAUUAGCAUGCUUUUGCCAUAUUUUAACAACAUGUUUUCAAGGUAGCCCAAUCAUAGUUGCACAUAAUUCAGUCACGCUGUCUACUCAAGUAACGGUGACUAAAUUAUUUAUAACUUGAGCUACAGAUUUCUAAAUUAUGAUCCGUUAAUUUUCCAUUAAUUAUGUAUAGUUGGUUAUAUAAUGACAUUUUGGCUUUGAAAGUUGAUUGAUAUUUUGUUAAUAUAACUAUAUAAGCAUUCAGCCAAGGUAACAUUUAUGCAUGAAAGUAUAUAUAUUAUUUACGAAAUUAUAAUUUUGAUACUAAAUGUGAUAAUGAUAUUAUAAUUUGGUUUAGUUUAACUGAUUUAUUUAUUUGCUUAUGACUUACUAAGCUAUGAUAGCUUACUGUAUGUUUUUAUGUUUGCCUUUGUUUUAUAGAUUUUGGAGUCAACUUACGAGUUCGAGGAUCGUUAACAAAGUCCAUCAUACUAUCAACUGUCUUCAGUAUCUUUAUAAGUGAACUUUCGAAUCUAUGGCAUUUAUAGGCUAGAUCAUGUUUUGAAAUGUUGGAUUUUGAUUUUUGUAUAAAUUAGGCCAUGCAAAAAUGGCUUAACUUUUAUGUUUAAAUUUGGUUAUUUUUUUAUUAUGGUUUAUGUGCAUCUUGGUUAUAAUGUUAUGUGCUAUGAAUGUAUAGUAUUUGUGGUAGGUAUUAUAUGCUUUGAAAAUGGUUGAUGAUUUUGGGAUUUAUUUUGGUAGAUAUAUUAUAUGUUAUGUUUUGUCUUUGAGUAUGGUUUACUAAUUCAGCUUAGUAUUGAAAUGAAAUGAUUAUGAUAUAUAUAAAUUGAAAUGGGUAUUAGUUGUUUUAAUUUGAUUGUAAUAGCAAUGUAUGAGUAUACAUGUAUAUGUGUAUAAGUCAUGGAUAUUAAUGUAGUGAAUUGGUCAAGUAGAGACAAGUUAGAUAAGUUAUUUAGACUUAUUAAUAUGCUGAAUUUGUAAUUCGCCAAAUGUAUUUUAAAGUAGGUCAUUAUAUGUAUACUUGUAUGUUCGUGAUAUAAUUGUGGUAUUGAAUAUUUGUGGUUAAAGUUAGGCUAUAAAAAAAUUUGAUUAAUGAAUGUGGUUUUUGUGUUGGUUUAGAAAGAGCAUAUCACUUGGAUAUUUGGGUUGGUUUAUUUGAGUACUUUAUUUGGUAAAGUUGAUAAUAUACCUUCAGUAUAUGUUACGUAAAGUAUUACAUAUAUAUUCGAAUGGAUGUCAAAAUUUGUAUUAACGUAUGAAACAUGUAUAUUCAUAUUGACUAAUAUAUUAGAGCCGCAUAAAUGAAUGAAAAGUUUAGUAUUGAAAUUUGUUUCAUUUGAUGUAUAAUUUGUACAUGUGCAAGACUUAUAUAAAAAUAAGUCUGAUAUUCAAUUAAUGAAGUUGUUGAUUUGUUAUAUGUUCUCUAUAUAAAAAUAAAUUUGUUUUGAUAUAUGCUGGAUUAUGUUUUAAUUAUGUUAUGUUAUGAAUGAUAUGAUUUUAAGAUUUGAUAUUUGAUUAAGUUACGAGCAUUGAUGUGAUUAAAAUUUUUGAAUUGUAAAAUGUAAUGCAUAUUUAUAUAAAUUGUGAUAUGAUCGGUAAUGCCUCAUAACCGUAAUCCGGCGACGGAUACGGGUUAGGGGUGUUACAUACAUGCAUACAAAAACACCAUGGCCAAAUGAAGCUUCAUCCAUGACCCUUUUUGUUUGAAAUUUUGGUGGAGGAGAGGAAUAAAGAUGACAAAUUACUUUAGUUUUAUUUAUUUUGUCUUUUAUCACUUAUUUAUCAAAAUAACCUUUAAAACAUUUAAUAAUUACACUAACGCCAAGCCAUCAAAAUCCACUAUCUCUUUAAUGGGCCAUUUACCAAGUAAGGACUUCCACAUUUAAGUUCUAUAACUAUUUGGUUCAUUUAACCAAUAGGACUCAUAUUUUAUGCCUUACGCGAUUUAGUCCUUUUUAUCGAAUUAAGCAUUUAAACGGUAAAACUUCUUCACGGAAUUUUUGCACAACUCUAAUAUCAUGCUGUAAAUAUUAAAAUAAUAAUAAAAUAAAAUUUUUGACAUUGGAUUUGUGGUUCCGAAACCACAGUUUCGACUUAGCUAAAACCGGGCUGUUACAGCAAAGCUAUCAAACCUAUCCAGAAUAAAUCAACAAGUUAGAGGACCAAAGAAUAAAGUCCAUUCAAUUUAAUUAAUUAAUUUAAAACCCAAAUUUUUAAUGAAAUAUUUUAAAAUGAAUUAUUAAAUAUAAUUUUAUAUUUUAUUAUUUAAUUUAAUCAUGCAUGGCCCACUUUAUGUCUUAAAAAAUAUAACUUAUUCAAAUUAAUAUAAAAUAAGCCGUUUAUUGCAUGAAAACUAUAUAAUAAAGCAUAAAAUCACAUUUUAAUAAUUUCUAUGUCCUAAUUUCAUAUAUUCACAUAUUUCAUUAAUUUAUUAAAAUUUAUUUAGUUUUAACAACAAUUUUAAGUAAAAAGGUGAUGAAUGACAUAGGAAAAAUCCUAUAUAUUUUUUCGUUUACACCAUGUUGUCACCCUUCCAUGCACAAGUCUACACAACAAAACAUAACUCCAUUCCAAGUAUAUACAUUCAACCAACUCAGCCCAAUCAGGACAUCCAUACAUCUUCCGCAUACUAUUAUCUAUCAUAUACAACCAUCACAAGCUAAUCAACUUAAACCAUACAAAUUUCUACAUCCAUGAAAAGCAUCGUCAUAUGCAUAUACUUAACCCAAUAUUAGCCAAUUUCAUGUGGCCAUUAACAAAAUGAAUUAUCAUCCAACUUAUGCCAACACAUUUGGCCAAAUCAAUUAUGACACAUAACAAAAUGACCAUGUAACACCCCAUACCCGUAACCCAUGCCGGAGCGGAAUACAAGGCAUUACCUAACUCGAUCUCAUUCACCCAAACGUUCACAAGUCACCCAGACUCGGUCCAAUUUAAAAAAUUUUCAAUUUCUACUUUAAACUCCUUGUUAUGGGCCUACAAGCCCCUAAUCGACCAUUGAAAACUAUUUGGAAUCAACCCGGUCCCUUAAACUAUCUAUAGAAAAUUUAUCUUUGAGACAUGGCACACGCCCGUGUAGAAGGACAACACACCCGUAUGACCAUUUCAACAUGGUCGUGUUGAUGGUUCAUGUGGCUCACAUGGCCUAAGUAAUAUAAGGACACACCUGUGUCUUCCACUCGUGUGGAAUUUAUUCUAAAUGAACACGUACAGGGUUUCACACACUCUGGCACACGCCCGUGUGCCUGGCCUGUGUCCAUCACAUGGCCAUGACACGCCCGUGUCCUAGCCCGUGUGCAAAAACAUGGACAUUCUAUUUCUGAUGUCAGCAUCCCCAAAAUGACACAUGACCAAGGCACAUGCCAGUGUGCUAGGCCAUGUCUAUCACACAACUGUGGCACACGACUGUGUCUAUGCCCGUGUGUUUACUAUCAUGCAUACUGACUUGAAAUUUUUACGUGCAGGGGACACACGGCCGGACCACACGCCCAUGGGGCAAACCGUGUGUCACACACAACCUAGACACACGGUUCGUGUGAUUUCGUGAUAGGUUUUAAAUAUUUAUAAUUAAUUAUUCUUGAAACUAUCUAUUAUCGUGAUAUAGGCAAGGGUACCUAUCGAACAGUAGUAUAGUUUUAGCAAGACUGGAUUGUCGAACCCAAAGGAACUAAAAGUACUAGUAAUGACUGUCUUUUUAUUAUCUACCCUAAGAAUAAAGAGGUUUUUUUUAACUAACUAAUUAUCUAAACUAAGAAUUCACAGAGAAUGGAAUUGGGGAAUUGCUUUUGGGAAAAUCAAUUGAAUUAAGACAAUACCUAAGGAAAAAUCCACCUAGACUGUACUUGUUAUUCUAGCUCCGAAUCGGAUGAUUUAUUCAUUUAACUUGUUCCGUAGAGAUCCUUAAGUUAUGUUAUUAUCCUUAUUCAAGAAAUAUAACUUUUAAUCCCUAAAUUGAAUAAUUGAGACCUUUCUCUAAUUAACACCCUAGGGUUGCAUUAACUUGAUCUAUGAAUCCCCUUAUUAGGUUUCACCCUAAUUUGGCAAAAUCUUGUCACGCUAUGUCUAGGCGCGCAAACAACUCCGCUUAAUUAUGAAAAAUGAACUCUUAGACAGGGUCUAUUCCUCCUCUGAAUAAUGGCUUAUCUUGAAUCAGUAUAUUGGGAUAUCAAAACAAGAAUUAAGAACACAUAAUUAAGAACAAGUUAAAUAUUUAUCAUACAAUUCAGAAAAUAAUAACAAGAUUCAACUUAGGUUUCAUUCCCCUUAGGUAUUUAGGGGUUUUAGUUCAUAACUAAAUAAGAAAACAUCUCAGAAUAAUAAAGAAUACAAAACAUAAAGCAAAAACUCAAAACUCCUGAAGGAGAAAUUGAGGAGAGAUCUCCAGUCUUGAUGGUGAAUCCGGCUUCUUAGAUGGAUCAAUCAGCUUCCUUGGAGUAAUUCCUUACUCCCUAUUCUAUGUCCUCUUUUCUUCCUCCUCUAGGGUGUAUUUAUAGGCUUUGGAAUGCCUAAGAGCCCUCAAAAUUAGCCUUUUCUGAAUUGGACUCAACUUGGGCUCGGCAGGGACACGCCCGUGUGCAAUUACUUCAGGCCGUGCUCGAGCCUGCCAAAUUGACACGAUCGUGUUGUCUACUAGUGUGAGGAAGUCCAGGCUAUGUUGAAUUCGUACUUUGUCCCAUUUUCUCUGUUUUUGGCUCAUUUCUCGUUCUUUUCUCUCUCCUAUGCUCUCCUAAGUAUAACACAUGAAAUUAAAUCAUUAGGAGUAUCGAGUUCACCAAUUCUAAUGGAAAAUCAUCCAUAAAAUGCGUUAAGCAUGGGGUAAAAAUAUGUAUAAAUUACGGUUUAUCAAAUACCCCCACACUUAAGCAUUUGCUUGUCCUCAAGCAAAAUUCUCAACUCAUAAUCAAAAUAAAUCCUUCUCAACUUAUAAUUUCUAUCGAUAAUAUCUCAAAAUAAUCCAUAAGUAAUCAUACAUUGAGAAUUCAACUAAAAGAACAUAAAAGUUUCAAACAUUCCAAGUUGAGUAUUUAAUCAUGCAAACAUAGGUGUCUCCCCUCAUCUAAGUAAUUACCUUUGAUUCAGAAUAUCACAGAGUUUCACAUCCUCACUAAAGAUUCACUCAAAUCACUCGAGGUGUUUAAGGACAAUAAAUGAAGCACUCAAUAGCCAAUAAUGAAGAGUCAUUACCAUAGGCUUGCAUGAAAAUCAAAUCUCCACCACUAUAAUUUAAGAUGAUACAUCAACCAAAAGGUCUUUAGAGGGUUGUAAUGAGGCUUGGUUAGGGUGUGUGGUCACAAGCUGAAAGAAAGGGUUAGAAUCGAGAUUAAGUUGAAAAAAUUACUUAACUAGAAAAAUAGGUAGUCAUCAAUUGCGUACAAUAGAGUUUUUCUCAGACUAUGGAAUUUAUAUACUGAAGCUUACAAACAGAAGAUCACUACUAAUAUGUAUACAUGUAUUUUUUUAGGAACAAGUUAAAUAACAUAGACUAACUAUUAAGAACAAGACAUAGCUAAACAAUUUAUUCAACUCAAAUCUCGACAAAAAUAGGGAUUAAUUUAGGGGAUUUCAAUAAUAAUGGGUUAAGGGUUAAUAUUAAGGGUAAUAAAGAAAUGGCUUGUUAGGCUCCAGGGGGUUUACUAGGGGUUAAUCAUGGAGGUAGGCUUUUCAUGGAAUAAGUGGGUUAAUCCUAAGUUCCUUAAUCAUUUUGACAUAUCAAAUCAAAUGGUGUGGUCUCGACAUGCAUAAUCAAGCAAGUUCUAGAAUAUCAGUUCAAUACUGACGCACUCAAAGUAAUAAUAAAAGUGAGCAUGAAAGAAUUAAUAGAUGCUCAAAAGACUCAAAAAUAUCACAAAAAUUAUGCCUUUUUGAUGUUUAAAACUUGUGAAUUCCAACUCAAAGUAAUACCUAAACUUUGGGGAAACAACCUAAGAUUUUAAAUUCUUAAAAAUCAACUUAUCAUGCUUGAUUCUCUAGUGUCUUGAGGUUUAAACAAUCAAUGCAUAAGUGCCUAUGUUUUAAUUCAAGAUAUAUCAAUCAAUGUCAUAAAUCAAUCAAAAUUUAUCCUAAAUACGAUAUGAGAGCUUUCCAAGAGAACAAGGCAGUCAUUCAGGGAUUUUCUAAUAACGAAAUAAAUACCCCCCACACUUAAGAUGUACAUUGCUCUCAAUGUACAAAGAUAUAUAUUAGAAUAUAAAAAUAAUAUAGGGAGAGAAGUGAAACUUCCUAUAUGAUGAAUUCCUCGAAUUGGAGUUUUGGAGAGUAAACGAUUUGAGAGUGGAGAAGGAUACUCCAGCUGUAACGCCCUAAUUUUUGAGAAUUCUGUGUAUGCUGGCAAAAUUUAAAAUUUCUGUGUUCUGUCUGCUUGGUGUAGGUUUAAUUAUGUUAGUGGGCCUCUAGAAGGCCCAAGCUUCGGCUAAAACCCAGUAUUUUUAAUUAAUUUUAAUUCCAUAGGAAAAAAAGGGGUUCUGGUUAACUGGGCUUUUAAGUAUUAAUUGGGUAAAAUAAAACACAAGGAAGCAGGUGACAAAGUGGAAUGUGAUGCCACUGGGAAGGCUAUAAAAGUGGUGUGUGGAUGCUAGGGAGAACCAAGGUUCAAGUUACAAUGAGAGCAUAUUAAGGGAAUUAUUUUUUAUGUUUAGAAAGGGUAAGUAAUGGAACUCAAGUAAAAGACUGUCAGGAGGAGUUUGAGUUGCUUAGGAGAUUGAGUAAGGAGGGGAUAAGGGAGAGCAGUAUUGGCUGAAUGAUGGACUCUUGAGGUGCAAGAGUUGGCCGGCCAAGGGUUUCGUUAGGGGGGCAAAUUUUGGCUAGGUUAAAUGCCAAGCAUAAAUUCGGCAUUUAGGGGUAAGUUGUGCCGCUUUUCUGACCAUCCUUCCUCCUACUCCUUUCUUUUCUUUUUCUCUCCAUCUACCUUCUCCUCUUCUUUUCUCCAUAGCUGAAUCCUUCUACCACUCUACUCUACACCACUUUCUUACUAUUAUUUUUAAGCCUUACAGCUGAAUAUCACAAAAAGCCAAAAUCCUGAAAGUUCAUAUUGUCUGUGUCGAAUUCUCCUAGCAAAAACCUACUGAUUUUUCUUCAUCCUUUUUGAUCAAUUCUUUCUUUUUUUUAACCCUAAACCUCUGUCAACAAAGCCACUACAAAACCCCUAUCUUUUCUUCACUGUUACAAAAAAAAACCAAAAAUGCAUAGCCAUAGGGACAUAGCUGAAUUUUAAGAUCACUAAAGGUUUGACUUUUGUUAUCAUUUGAGGGGUUAGAUCUGCAUCAAAAUCGAGUAGGAGUUAAUUGGAAUCAUUGACCAAAGGAACCGGUGGUAAGUUUUUGAGCCUAAUCUUUAUUUCAGGUUUUAGAAAAAGCCGAAACCCCUAAAGGUUAGGGAGACUGUCGAUUUGGGCUUAAAGCUCUAAGGGUUGUGAUAACUAUUUUAUUUUUGAUACUAGUGUGAUCUAGAGGCUGCUGAUCAAAGGCUUGGACAAGUGGAACGACUGGAUCUAGACGUAAUCGCUAAUUUCGACAAAGGUAGGAUCGCUAGUGCCUAAGGUGCUAUUGGUCGAAUAUGGUAAGGGGUUAAUAUGUAGUUCAUUUUCGAUAGUUAGAUUAACGUGUUAGUAAUCCAAUUGUAGGUAGCUCGUGUGUGGAUCUUGUCAGCAUAUUGUCGCAAAUAGGUGUGUAACUGACACCCUCUUAUAGACUAGAUCGGCAAAAGCCGAAAAGUCGAAAUGCCGAAAAGCUGAUAUUUUAAGAACUUGUGAGUGUGCGAAUGCUCGUGAGAUUAAUAGUUUGAUGUAUAUGGUAAAUUAAAGUGAUAAGACUGUAGAGUGCACGAUUUUGUGCAUUUCGAUAUUUUUGGGCUUAAUGGGCCAAAAUUAGGAUAACUGGCCAACGGGUCCAAUUCCGUAAGAAAACGCGGUAAGUGUUUCAGGUUGUACGUAAAUGGCUAUGUUAUGCAUGAAAACCUUAAGAAUAGUUAAAUUAAUUGAAUACCCCUAUGUAUGGAAAAUUACUAUUAUACCCCUAGGUGCAAAAUUACCAUUAUACCCUUAGGGUUGCUUUUGACUGAAAAGCAUGAUGAUCUGAUUCCGUAUGAUGUUUUCCAUGAUUAUAUAUUUGUUGCAUGGGGACAUGGGUUGUAUUAUGGAGGAAGCGUCCUGGUGGCUAUGCCACAAUUAUCUGAUCUGGUGGCUUUACCACAUAUAUCUGUUCUGGUGGCUCUGCCACGAUUAUCUGUAUCUGGUGACUCUAUCACAUUAUCUGUUCUGGCAGCCAUGCUGCAUAUUUCUGUGGCGUGUAGCAGUUGGGUGGGUCGAGUAGUCUCCCCACAUCGUGAAAGGUUGGUAUGGGGGUGCAUAUGGUCGGAUAUGGGUUGGGUUUUGCAUAAACAUGUAAUAUAUGUUCUGAUCUGUUAUGGGCCUAUGGGCUUUAUUCUGAAUUCUGUUCUGGGCUAAGGCCAACUUAUUCUGUUUUUUAUGGUUUGAACCAAUAUAGGCUAUGGUUGGGUUAAUUUACACACUGAGUUUCCCCAAACUCACCCAUUUAUUUUCAUCCACACAGGUAAUCCCUAACCAUAGUGGGUCUGGAGCUGUGAAGGAUUCGGAGUGGCCACACGUUCUGCAUAUUCAAUUUUUCUUCUGGUGAACUGGACAUCCUUUUAUUUACGCGUAAGGUUUUGGGUUUUUAAAUUUAAUAAGGCCGCUUAAUUUUUUUUGAUGGUUUUAAUAUGUUUUGUUAAGAUAGGUAUUACUUAUAUUUAACUGUUGAAAUUGGAUAGCUCUAGGGUGCGUUUUCAAGAACAGUAAUUGAUUUCGAAAUAACACGACAACAAGCAAAGCUUCCGCAAUGAAAAUAUUUUCCAAAAUUAAUCACUUUUCCUAAAAGGGACUUAAUCAAAUUGGUUUUCUUAAAAUAUACAUGACGUUGAGGUGUGGCAAUGGCGGUGUGCAUGUCUAGGAUUGGAUCCGAAGGGAGCUUGGUACUUAAGCAGUCCGAUGGACUCACCUCCUCUUUUUCCGGUUUCCUACCCGCUGCACAGCUACCAUUCACUUUAACUUAUAAUGAAAUUAUUUUUUAAAAAACACUAUGUAAGUUUUUCUAGACCAACAAUAUAAAAUGUUUUGAACGCUUCGAUGUGGCACGUCGGAUCCGGCCAUAACGUCUAGGCCAAGUUUAGGGUGUUACAUUUAGUGGUAUCAAAGCCAAGUUGCAACAACUCGGUUGUGGAAUGGGUUUACAAAAACAAAGAUUUUCAAAAACAAAAAUUUUAUAAAGAUUGAAAAAAAAACUCGGUUUUCAAAAUUUAGAUCUUUAGAAGGUGGCAUUCCGAAUCUCCGGCCCAAGCCUGUAAGUAUUACUCUGAACUUUUAUGAAUAUUUUCCUGAAUUAUCUGUCUGUACUGAAACCCUACUAGGAUACUCUAGAUAGGAUGAUACUGAAACCAUAAGAAAAUUUGAUAAGAGACUAAAACUGUAGCUAGAUUUUGAUUCUGCGAAAACAAACUCUGAAUUACUGUCUGAUUCAUAAAACAUCUGUAAUAAACACUAGAAUAUUGAAUUAAUGCAUAAAAUUUGUAAUCAGAUAAUACGAUAUGAGUACAAGAGCCACUCGUGGAAGAGGCCGUGGACGGGGCCGAAGAAGUGCUCGAGUGGGAUCUUCGUCUUUGAGACAUAUGCCGGCUGCAGAUGCACCAGUACCACCAGCAAUAGAGGUAGAGUCUCAUGACCGUGGUGCAGGGGAUGAUGCCCUAUCGCAGGAAAUGUUUCGUGUUCUGGAAAGGGUUGCCGGGGCAAGUACAGGCAACGGAAUUCGAGGAUCCAUUUCUGAACGACUCUGGGCUAACAGAGCGGAGAUCUUUAGGGGCGUGUCUGGUGUAGCCCUGAAUGUGGCAGAAUAUUGGUUGGAGGCCACAGAACAAAUUAUGGAUGACCUGGACGACUCUGUGGAGUAGAAGUUGAAGAGAGCCGUAUCGUUGCUACGGGACGAGGCUUAUCAGUGGUGGCUCACUAUGAGAGAAGGGACCCCAGCUGAUGGGUAACUUGAGAACUGUUUAGGAUGGCCUUUAAAGGGAAGUAUGUUGGGGUGAGUUAUGUGGACGCCUGGAGAAAGGAAUUCUUGAAUCUGGUGCAAGGAGGUAAAAUAGUUGCUGAGUACGAGGCCGAGUUUCUGAGGCUGAGCCGGUAUGCCGUGGGCAUAGUCGCUACUGAAUAUGAGCGAAGUGUGCGCUUCGAGGAUGGUCUUAGGGAUGACCUUAGGGUGUUGAUUGCUCCGCAGAGGGAGCGAGACUUUGCGGUCUUGGUGGAGAAGGCAAAGAUAGCUGAGGAGGUAAAGCGUGCUGAAAAGCAGAAUUGGAAGAAAGAUUAAAAUCAUUUCCGGAAGGAUUCCGGACCUCUGGGUGGAGCAAAUAGAAAUGUUAAGAGAGCAAGAGUGGAGGAACCAGUUCGAGCAGUGCCGAUGAAUGUUGUUAAACCACCAAUCUGUGGAGACUGUGGUAAGGUACAUUUGGGCGAGUGUAGGAAACAUUCCGGUGCUUGUUUCUGAUGCGGAUGUAUGGAGCAUAAAGUUAAAGACUAUCCUCAGAGAGCUGAUCAGGCUUAAGUUGCUGUACAGAGGGUUGCUCAACCCAUGAGAGGUGGACCACAACCACCGAGAGGACGUGGACAAGGUAGGGGCAGAAAUGGAAAUGGUCGAGGUUGAGGGGCACCUGGUAGGGGUGCCAAAAAUGCUGAAGCUCGACAGCCAGCAUUGGUGUAUGCAACUCAUCAUCGAGAGGAGGGCGACGCACCUGACAUCAUAACUGGUACGUUUUUGGUUUCUAGCAUGCUGUAUACUGCUUUGGUGGAUAUUGGAUCUACUCAUUCCUAUGUUGCAUGUGCCAUAUCUGGGUCGUUGGGUGUGCACCCCUGAGAAGAUUGUGAGUGGGGUAUCUGUGCUAAAUCCUUUGGGUCACUCGGUUAGGGUAGACAAACUGUAUAGGGAUGUACCCUUAGAAACUUAAGGUAGGACUUUCCCUGGAGAUCUGAUGGAGUUACCGUUCAGAGAAUUUGACCUCAUUUUGGAAAUGGACUGGCUUGUUAAGCAUAAGGCGACUCUGGAUUGUGCUGCUAAAUGAAUGGUGUUAAGGACCACGGAGGGUGAGGAGGUUAUGGUGAUAGGUGACCGAAGGGAUUAUUUGUCCAAUGUGGUGUUGGCAUUAAGAGCUGAAAAGUGGAUUUGGAAAGGUUGUGAAGCCUAUUUGGCAUUUGUAAGUCAGUCGGAAGAGGAGGGUCUGACAGUGGAUAAGGUUAAGAUCGUAAAGGAGUUCCAAGAUGUUUUUUUAAAGGAGCUUCCGGGAUUGCCUCCGAACCGAGAAGUCAAGUUUGGAAUCGACUUGUUGCCUGGAACGGCGCCGGUGUCCAUCGCACCAUAUAGGAUGGCACUGAAAGAGUUAGUGGAGUUAAAGGAACAAAUUCAAGAGUUGUUGGAUAGGGGCUUCAUUAGGCCAAGCAUGUCCCAAUGGGGAGCACCGGUGCUAUUCGUGAAAAAGAAGGAUGGUACGAUGCGGAUUUGCAUUGAUUAUCGCCAGUUGAACAAACUGACGAUUAAGGAUAAGUAUCCAUUGCCAAGGAUUGACGAUCUGUUCGACCAGCUUAGAGGAGCUUCUGUAUUUUCCAAGAUCGACCUUCGAUCUGGAUAUCAUCAGUUAAGGGUCAAUGAGGCAGAUAUUCAUAAGACGACAUUUAGGACUCGGUAUGGUCAAUUCGAGUUUCUGGUUAUGCCAUUUGGACUGAUGAACGCUCCUACAGCGUUUAUGGAUCUGAUGAAUCGUGUGUUCCAACCAUUUUUGGAUCGGUUCGUAGUCGUCUUUAUUGACGAUAUCCUGGUAUAUUAUGGAAUUGAAGCGAAGCAUGAUGAGCAUCUCCGCAUUGUGCUACAAGUGUUAAGGGAGAAGGAACUGUAACAGCCCGGUUUAGACCCUAGUAAGAACAGUGGUUUUGGGACCACGAAUCUGAGUCAGAAAAAUAUUUUAAUAUUAUUUUCUGUGUUUAAAGUAUGUGAAUUGAUAUGUGUGAAAUUUUCGUACAAAAAUUUUAUCGUUGUGUGCUUGAUUUAAUAAGAAGGACUAAAUCGCGUAAAACGUAAAAGUUGCAUGCUAUUAGUUAAAGGUGUCAAUUGGUCUUGGCUUUUUAAUAUGAUGGCCUUAAAUGGUAAAUAGCCCAUUUAUAAGAUAGUGGAGGAUAUUUGGUUUGGCAUUUGUGUAAAUAUGAAUUUAUUUUAAUGGUAAAAUGGUAAUAUGUUAAAAAAAAGUUUAAUUAAAUAAAUCAAAAGCCAUGUUUUUUGUCUUUUUAUGCUAUCAUCUUUCUCCAUAGCCGAAUGUGAAAAUAAAAAGAUGAGUUUGGAAGCUUUGAAUAUUCGACACCUUUAGAAGCUUAAUUCGGGUAUGUGUUUUACUCGAUUUUUGAUAAUUUUUACGUUUUUGAGAUCGUUGCUUCGAGUACUAGUAAACCCAUGCCUUAAUUUUUGGGUUUAAUGAAGAAUUUGAGAUUUUUUAUUUUUUAUUAUGUGAUGAAAUUGUUGUUUGAUGAUGAAUAAUAAAUCUUUGAUGUUUGAUUUUCAUGUUUAAUUAAGUGAUUUUUGAUAAAAAUUUGUAUUAAGGACUAAAUUUAGAAAUUUGUAAAUUAGGGGGUCAAAACAUUAAAUAAAUAAAAGAAAUGGGUUGCUAGAGACCUAAGAUAAAUUCAACCUAACAUGGGUUUGAUGAAAUUUUGAGUAAUUUGUGUUAUUUCAAAAUAGGGACUAAAUUUUAAAAAUGUGAAAUGUUAGAGGAUAAAAUGCAAAAUGCCCAGAUUAUGUGUCCUUAGAUAAAAUUUAAUGAAAUGUUGAAUAAGUGAGUUAAUUUUGAUAUUAAUUAGAUUGGAAAAAGUGGAAUUCGGAUUUGGAUCGGGGGGAAAAUCGAAGUGGUCGAUUAGUCGUCUCGUUUCGAUUACCGUUGUCCGAGGUAAGUCUAUAAGCAAUAAACAUUUUAAAAUUUGAAUGUAUAUGAUCAUUAUAUGCUGAAUUUAAUUGUGUGAAUUUUUAUUAGUUAUAGCCAAAUGUAUAAAUGUUUAUGAGAUUUGGGAACAAGUUCUAUUCAAUUGAGAUAUGAUGUUUGAAAAGCUUAAUAUGAACAUUAAGAAAUAAUUAGGAUUUCUGAAAUAUGAAUUAUGUGUAAGACCGACUUUGUAUCAGUGAUAUUCGGGCUUUAUUACCUACCAGGCUUUGUGCCGGUGUAUUAUAUCAGGCUUAUUGCCUAGCAGGCUUUGUGCCGGUGUAUUAUAUCAGGCUUAUUGCCUAGCAGGCUUUGUGCUGGUGUUUUAAAUCAGGCUUAUUACCUAGCAGGCUUUGUGCCGAUGUAUUAAAUCAGGCUUAUUGCCUAGCAGGCUUUGUAGCAGGCUUUGUGCCGGUGUAUUAUAUCAGGCUUAUUUCCUAACAGGCUUUGUGCCGGUGUAUUAUAUCAGGCUUAUUGCCUAGCAGGCUUUAUGUGCCGGUGUAUUAUAUCAGGCUUAUUGCCUAGCAGGCUCUGUGCCGGUGUAUUAAAUCAGGCUUAUUGCCUAGUAGGCUUUGUGCCGGUGUAUUAUAUCAGGCUUAUUGCCUAGCAGGCUUUAUAUGCCCGUGUAUUAUAUCAGGCUUAUUUCCUAGCAGGCUCUGUGCUGGUGUAUUAUACUAGGCUCUAUGCCUAGCAAAUUUUAUGUGAACAACGGUAAAAGUAAUCAAAUGUGUUAAAUGAGCUAAAGUGAUCAGGUAUGUGAAUGUGGUUUACUUAUUUGAAAUGAAGGUAAAUUGGCUGAAAGAUAUGUGAUAAAAGUGUUAUGUAAUGCUAUUUUCUACCGCAUGAAAAAUCGAUUUAAAAGGUUCAGGUAUGUAUUCAUACUAAAUUAUGAAAUUAUGGCAAGUGGAAUGUUCGAAUUAAUGAUAUAAAUGUUACAUGUUAAUGUGAAUUAUAUGUAUGCAUAUGUGAAAGUAUACAUUCGGCUUACUUAUGUAUUCAUGACAUAAAUGAGAGUAUAUAUGUAUAGGAAAAUCUAUAAUUGGCCAAAUGAAAAGUAUAGGUGAUUUUGUAAAUGAAAUGUAUAUGUUUUCAUAUUUGGCAAUUGUAAAAUAUAUAUUCGACCACAUAUUAUGUAUAUAUAUGUGUUAUUAUGGUUUGCUUUAUGAAGAUAUGUAUAUAAGAGUUUAAAUAUUCGGUUAUAUAUACAUUGAUAAUAUGGCUUUGAAAGGGUAUGUUAUUUUGAUAAUAGAUACUUGUAUAUUCGAUCAAGGUAAAAUUUGUACAUGGAAGUAUAUGUUAUAUAUGAAAUUGUGAGCUUGAAAAUAAAUGUGAUCAUGAUAGUAUAAAUUAGUUUGAUUAAACUAAGUUGAUAUUAAUAUUGAGUUAUUUAUUUGCUUAUGACUUACUAAGCUCUCGAAGCUUACUCUAUGUGUUUUUCCUAUGUCUUUAGAGUUUCAGUGAAUUGCUCGAGUUGGAAGUUGUUGGAGAUGUCAUCACACUAUCCGGUUAUCAUUUUGGUAACUAAUGCUUUGAGAUUUGGUUAUGUGGCAUGUAUAGGCUUGUUUUGAUAUAUUUGGUUUUGAAGUUUGUAUGUUUAUAUAUAUAUAGCCAUACGAAAAUGGCUUGAUUAUAAUGUUAAAGUUAGUGUGUAUGUGGCUGUGACUUAAACUUAUUUUGGAAGUAUCAAAUGUGGUAGAAUGUGUGCUGGAUGAUUGUAUAAUAUGGCUUGGUGAUGAGGUAAAAUGAUGGAUAUAUAUUUGGUUGUAAAUUAGUUUUAUAGGUUCGGAUCCAAACUGCUAGAAAUAAUGUUUAUGAUUAUAUAAAUUUGAUCAUGAUAUAUGUUCAUAUGGGGAAUUAGGUUUCAUGGUACUUAUAUGAGGUGUGUAUGAUAUAUGAAUCAAUUUGGAAACUGUUUAUAAAGUGUUGUGUAUUCGGUUAUGUGAUGAAAUUAUAUAUGAUGAUUAUAAUCAACUUUGUGAUUUGGCAAUGAUAGUUUAAAUCAUUUAGUCAAGUGUUUAGUAAAAUGUUAAUGUUAAAUUUGUUGUGUUGGUCUUAUUAUAAAGAUUAUUUAUGUGUAAAAUAUAUGUGUUUACUAUGCUAUGGAAAUAGUUUAAUUUAGAUUAUUGUGUUAACCGAAUAAUUCAAGAGAUAAAUAAAAUAAAAUAUAUAUAUGGCUUGAUUAUUAAAUUUGUAAAUUGAUUAUACUUUGAUUAGUUGUAUGUGUUUUAAAAUGGUUUAUAUUAAUUAGGUAAAAUGAGUACAUGACAUUGAUGUUUAAAAAUUUUAUACUUGAUCAUUUGGUGAGGUUGAUUAUACCGAAUGUGUUUUGGUUUAUUUGCCAUGUGAUAUUGCAUAUUAAGUAUAAUAUGCGGAUGUAUUGGAAUAAAAUAAAAUGCAUGAUUAUAUUUGGUUAAAGUUAGUUAAAAAAAAUUAUUGUAAAGGAGUUAAUAUUACUAUGUGCAUGAUUGAAUUGUAUGACCGUAUUGAGUGGUAAUUUGAUCGGUAAUGCCUCGUAACCCAAAUCUGGUGAUGGAUAUGGGUUAGGGGUGUUACAUUUGAUUGGUAUCAGAGCUAUGGUUUAGUCGGUUCUAGGACUACCAUAGCGUAUGUGAGUCUAGCUAUACAUGCCACAUUUAACCUGCGAUAGUGUGAUAUCUCCCAACUCUGACGAAAAUUGUUUUGAUGGGAUAGAUAAGUUUUCGAACCGAGCUAAUUCUGAUAGUACGGAAUGUGUACUGAAAUGUUUGAAUGGAAAUGUGCUGAUUAUGAGUUGAAACUCAUAAAUGUAUGGAUCAAAGAGUAUGACAUUUUUGUUAUUGAUAAAUGUUAUAAUUAUAUGAGCAUAUGAGAUAUGAUAUUUGAGUUAUGAUUGCUAUCUGAAAUGCUUUGAUUGUGAAUUAGUAAUUUGAGUUGGCAUAUGAAUUAUGUGUUAAGAAUAAAAGUAAUUAAAAGUAAAUGAUUAUUAAAUGAUUUGAUAAUUUGAAUUUAGUAAUGAACUGGUUAUUUGUGAUAGUAUGUGAUGUGGACCUUUAUGCGUAAGUUAAAUUUGAGGCUUUACUACCCUCACCCCCCUUAUCAGUGAAACGUUAAAAUGAAAUCUGUAAGAUUUGGAUUGAAUAAGUUUACAAGUGUGGAAUUACAAAAGUCCAUGUUUAGAAGAUUAAUAACGUGAUUAGAAAAGUAAAUGAAUCAGCAAAUAAAGAUAGUAAUAAAAGAGAUAUUGAGUAGUUCUGAAGACUAUUCAGAUUAUACAAAGACACUGUUACAGAAGAAGUUAACCCUGAUUAAAUUAUCUAUUCAGGUUUGCUAUAUAAGGAAAAUAUUAGCUAGAAGCUUUUCUGAAUUAACUUCUGUUAGUGAAGGGAUGAUGUGAAAAUUUCUGAUGACAGAGUUAGACGGUUGAAUAAUGUUUAAUUGUAGUGAUGGCUGAGUGCAAUAGUUACAGUUGGGCAGAUACUAUGAUUUCUUCUAGGCAAUUUAUGUGUACAAUUAUCCUCAGAAGUAUAUGUGACUGUUUAAUUUCAGAAGGAAUUUUUUUGAUCGUAUGAGAAUAUUAGCCAAACAUGGCUAUAGACAAAAGCAUCAUUGGUCUAUUUGGGAUAUGUACGACAUUGCUAUGUCUUUCUCUGAAAUUUAUUCUCUUAUGUGGAUAUGAAAUUGACAGUAAAACUCUGUAUGAUGCUAAUAUUCUGUUUCUACUGGCUAUUGUUCUGUUGAAUAUAUGUGAAGAUUAUAUUACUUCUGUUAUUGUGGAUUUUAGUAUUGAUGAGUGACGUCGUUCUUUCUGAAACUUUCUGGGAUAUCAUCGGAAUUAUUAUCAUUCUACAUGGGUUGAAAUUUUUAGAAAUCUUGUGUAGCUUCAUACGUUGAAAUUUCGCUAUUCUGGUUUUCUUAUGAUUUUAUAUGAUUAUCUAUAUGAGAUAUUUAUUUGACAAAAAUGGUUAUAUCUGUUAUAAUCAUAAUUUAUGUUCUGAAAUUUGGAAAGUAUUGCAGUACUAUUAUCAAAGUUAUAAAAGUUGUGUUUCAGCAUUGGUUUCUGUUCAAAUCAUAUUUGAUUUUCUUCCGGGUUCAGAUACUUUAUUAACAGUCGGGAUAUUAUCUAUUGUUACGGGAAGAUGUCAAUCUUAUUAUGACAUUAUGAUAUCUAUUUGAUGAUUGCGGCUUCUGUAUAAUGAUAUGUUUGGGUUAUCCUUUUUAAUGAGAAGAAAAGAUUUCUUCGAAAAGACCAAUUCAGUGGUUUAGUCUGAUCUGAAUUAUUUGAUUGAAAAAUUAAUUGGGUUAUAUGUGUUUGAAUCUAUGCAUGGGACUGGAAAUAAACUUUGAAUGCACAAGUGUGAACUGAGGAAUAAUCUGGAAAAAGAAUUCAUAUUCUUGAAGAUUUGAUGCAGAAUUAUAUCUAUCAGAACAAUUCUAUCUGGGAAUGUUGUGGUAAAUUAAAGUUAGUUCAAUUGCUGAAACUUUCUUAUGCAUGAAGACAUUAUCAACAGAAAUAUCAGUUCUGGUUUAGUCUGAAUUAUAGAAAAAGUUUAUGAUCAUCAAUUAUGCGCCAAUGAACGGUUUGAAGUGUGUUCUAAUAAUAGAGUAUAUAAAGAUAUCUUAUGAUUCCAUAUGGUUAAAGCUACAUGAAAAGAGUUAUGUGACAUAUUUGAUGAUUACAAGAGUUUAAAAUGUUUGAUUUUGCAGAGCGAGAUUCGAACUUGGCACAGCAAAGCUAGCUUGAAUCGUCGAAAAACUUUUGAGUUUGUGAGUAAAUAAUAUUACCUGAGAGAAAUGAUUUUAGUUUCAAAUGAUCUGAAUAAGAAACUUUGUGUGCUCUACGAGCGAUGAAUACGUGAUUGAUCUUAUCAAGGGAUGAUUAUAUGUUAGCUGGAUUAGAAAUUAAAUUGAUGCUUACUAAGUGAAUUCGUGAAAAUUAGAAAGGUGUUAUCAAGUUAUAAGUUAGAAAGAGGUUCAGCUUAAAUUGAUUUCCGAUUUAGAAUUUCAGAUGUGAAAGUGAUGAUAGCUUGUUGCUUUGAAAUAGAGUGUAUAAACCAAGAAAUCUGAGAUUGUAUAACCAUUGUUCCAAAAGGCUCAUAGUGUCAAUUAGACUGUUUAUACAGGAGUAAUAAGAGGCACAAUAAUAUGAGAAAGUGGUAUUGAUAAUAGGUAUAAAACGUAAUAUUUCUGACCUCGCGUUUAAAUGUCUAAGAUUUCAAUAGGUUAAAGUUAACUAUUAAGCGUCUUCAGGACUACUUCAGCAUGCUUUGACAUCUGAAUAAUGGUGAAAUAGAAUUUUGAUGAAUUGUGUAUCAGGAUUAUCUCUUAUAAUUGAAAAAGACAGAUGUUAUUUGAAUCAUUGUUAACUGUCUGAAUAAGUCUUUCCGUACACAUAGAUUUCUCUUUUGAUAAAUCAAGUGAGUUAUUUGUUUCAGAGACUGUCAGUUUGCACAUGGUGCUAGUUAUCAUUAUUUUAGAUUGAAAUCUAAAAUUUAUAUGGUAAUUCUGGGAGAAACUACAGUAAGCUGUGAGUACGGGGUUGUUUUGAAAAUUCUUGAAAUAUUUAUUUAUUCUUAUGUUUUAAAGUUUGAAAGCAACUAAGAAAAAUUGUUGCUAUUUGACAAAUUAUCAAGUGAGUAUAAAAGUGAUAUUGUAUGAGAUAUUGUAUGUGGCAGUUAUCUAACUCCGCUGUUCAGGAUCGAGCUUUGUAAAUAACUGAUUCAUGAGAUUAAUAUCAUCAGCGAAAUAAAGCACAAAAUGAAACUAAUUUCAUACAGUUAUAAACAAUUUUGGUUUAAUAUGAUGUAUAGCGGAAGACAGAUUAAAAUCUUAGUCAUGAGAUUUAAUAGAUAUGAAAUGGGUAGCCCUGUGUGAAUUUGAAAUAUACUAUGUGGAAACAAAUCUUUAAUCUAUUUUUUUUUGUUAAGAUUUUCGGGGACGAAAAUCCCUAAGAGGGGGAGAGUUGUAAUAGCCCGGUUUAGACCCUAGUAAGAGCGGUGGUUUUGGGACCACGAAUCUGAGUCAGAAAAAUAUUUUAAUAUUCUCUUCUGUGUUUAAAGUACGUGAAUUGAUAUGAGUGAAAUUUUCGUACGAAAAUUUUAUCGUUGCGUGCUUGAUUUAAUAAAAAGGACUAAAUCGCGUAAAACGUAAAAGUUGCAUGCUAUUAGUUAAAGGUGUCAAUUGGUCUUGGCUUUUUAAUAUGAUGGCCUUAAAUGGUAAAUAGCCCAUUUAUAAGAUAGUGGAUGAUAUUUAGUUUGGAAUUUUUGUAAAUAUGAAUUUAUUUUAAUGGUAAAAUGGUAAAAUGUUAAAAAAAAGUUUAAUUAAAUAAAUCAAAAGCCAUGUUUUUUGUCUUUUUAUGCUGUCAUCUUUCUCCAUAGCCGAAUUUGAAAACGAAAAGAUGAGCUUGGAAGCUUUGAAUAUUCGGCACCUUUGGAAGCUUAAUUCGGGUAUGUGUUUUACUUGAUUUUUGAUAAUUUUUACGUUUUUGAGAUCGUUACUUCGAGUACUAGUAAACCCAUGCCUUAAUUUUUGGAUUUAAUGAAGAAUUUGAGAUUUUCCAUUGUUUAUUAUGUGAUAAAAUUGUUGUUUGAUGAUGAAUAAUAAAUCUUUGAUGUUUGAUUUUCAUGUUUAAUUAAGUGAUUUUUGAUAAAAAUUUGUAUUAAGGACUAAAUUUAGAAAUUUGUAAAUUGGGGGGUCAAAACGUGAAAUAAAUAAAAGAAAUGGGUUGCUAGAGACCUAAGAUAAAUUCGGCCUAACAUGGGUUUGAUGAAAUUUUGAGUAAUUUGUGUUAUUUUGAAAUAGGGACUAAAUUGUAAAAAUGUGAAAAGUUAGGGAUAAAAUGCAAAAUGCCCAGAUUAUGUGUCUUUAGAUAAAAUUUAAUGAAAUGUUAAAUAAGUGAGUUAAUUUUGAUAUUAAUUAGAUUGGCAAAAGUGGAAUUCGGAUUUGGAUCGGGGGGAAAAUCAAAGUGGUCGAUUAGUCAUCUCAUUUCGAUUACCGUUGUCCGAGGUAAGUCUAUAAGCAAUAAACGUUUUAAAAUUUGAAUGUAUAUGAUCUUUAUAUGCUGAAUUUAAUUGUGUGAAUUUUUAUUAGUUAUAGCCAAAUGUAUAAAUGUUUAUGAGAUUUGGGAACAAGUUCGACUCAAUUGAGAUAUGAUGUUUGAAAAGCUUAAUAUGAACAUUAAGAAAUAAUUAGGAUUUCCGAAAUAUGAAUUAUGUGUAAGACCGACUUUGUAUUAGUGAUAUUCGGGCUUUAUUGCCUAGUAGGCUUUGUGCCGGUGUAUUAUAUCAGGCUUAUUGCCUAGCAGGCUUUGUGCCGGUGUAUUAAAUCAGGCUUAUUGCCUAGCCGGCUUUGUGCCGGUGUAUUAUAUCAGGCUUAUUGCCUAGCAGGCUUUUUGUGCCUGUGUAUUUUAUUAGGCUUAUUGCCUAGCAGGCUCUGUGCCGGUGUAUUAUACUAGGCUUUAUGCCUAGCAAAUUUUAUGUGAACAACGGUAAAAGUAAUCAAAUGUGUUAAAUGAGCUAAAGUGAUCAGGUAUGUGAAUGUGGUUUACUUAUUUGAAAUGAAGGUAAAUUGGCUGAAAGAUAUGUGAUAAAAAUGUUAUGUAAUGCUAUUUUCUACUGCAUGAAAAAUCGAUUUAAAAGGCUCAGUUAUGUAUUCAUACUAAAUUAUGAAAUUAUGGCAAGUGGAAUGUUCGAAUUAAUGAUAUAAAUGUUACAUGUUAAUGUGAAUUAUAUGUAUGCAUAUGUGAAAGUAUACAUUCGGUUUACUUAUGUAUUCAUGACAUAAAUGAAAGUAUAUAUGUAUAGGAAAAUCUAUAAUUGGUCAAAUGAAAAUUAUAGGUGAUUUUGUUAAUGAAAUGUAUAUGUUUUUAUAUUUGGCAAUUGUAAAAUAUAUAUUCGACCACAUAUUAUGUAUAUAUAUGUGUUAUUAUGGUUUGCUUUAUGAAGAUAUGUAUAUAAGAGUUUAAAUAUUCGGUUAUAUAUACAUUGAUAAUAUGGCUUUGAAAGGGUAUGUUAUUCUGAUAAUAGAUACAUGUAUAUUUGAUCAAGGUAAAAUUUGUACAUGGAAGUAUAUGUUAUAUAUGAAAUUGUGAGCUUGAAAAUAAAUGUGAUCAUGAUAGUAUAAAUUAGUUUGAUUAAACUAAGUUGAUAUUAAUAUUGAGUUAUUUAUUUGCUUAUGACUUACUAAGCUCUCGAAGCUUACUCUGUGUGUUUUUCCUAUGUCUUUAGAGUUUCAGUGAAUUGCUCGAGUUGGAAGUUGUUGGAGACGUCAUCACACUAUCCGGUUAUCAUUUUGGUAACUAAUGCUUUGAGAUUUGGUUAUGUGGCAUGUAUAGGCUUGUUUUGAUAUAUUUGGUUUUGAAGUUUGUAUAUUUAUAUAUAUAGCCAUACGAAAAUGGCUUGAUUAUAAUUUUAAAGGUAGUGUGUAUGUGGCUAUGACUUAAACUUAUUUUGGAAGUAUCAAAUGUGGUAUAAUGUGUGCUAGAUGAUUGUAUAAUAUGGCUUGGUGAUAAGGUAAAAUGAUAGAUAUAUAUAUGGUUGUAAAUUGGUUUUAUAGGUUCGGAUCCAAACGGCUAGAAAUAAUGUUUAUGAUUAUAUAGAUUUGAUCAUGAUAUAUGUUCAUGUGGGGAAUUAGGUUUCAUGGUACUUAUAUGAGGUGUGUUUGAUACAUAGAUCAAUUUGGAAACUGUUUAUAAAGUGUUGUGUAUUCGGUUAUGUGAUGAAAUUUUGUAUGAUGAUUAUAAUCAACUUUGUGAUUUGGCAAUGAUAGUUUAAAUCAUUUAGUCAAGUGUUUAGUAAAAUGUUAAUGUUAAAUUUGUUGUGUUGUUCUUGUUAUAAAGAUUAUUUAUGUGUAAAAUAUAUGUGUUUACUAUGCUGUGGAAAUAGUUUAAUUUAGAUUAUUGUGUUAACCGAAUAAUUCAUGAGAUGAAUAAAAUAUAUAUAUGAAUUGGCUUGAUUAUUAAAUUUGUAAAUUAAUUAUACUUUGAUUAGUAGUAUGUGUUUUAAAAUAGUUUAUAUUAAUUAAGUAAAAUGAGUACAUGACAUUGAUGUUUAAAAAUUUUAUACUUGAUCAUUUGGUGAGGUUGAUUAUAUCGAAUGUGUUUUGGUUUAUUUGCCAUGUGAUAUUGCAUAUUAAGUAUAAUAUGCACAUGUAUUGGAAUAAAAUAAAAUGCAUGAUUAUAUUUGGUUAAACUUAGUUAAAAAAAAUUAUUGUAAAGGAGUUAAUAUUACUAUGUGCAUAAUUGGAUUGUACGACCGUAUUGAGUGGUAAUUUGAUCGGUAAUGCCUCGUAACCCUAAUCUGGCGACGGAUAUGGGUUAGGGGUGUUACAGGAACUCUAUGCGAAGUUCAGCAAGUAUGAAUUUUGGUUGAGGGAAGUUACCUUCUUAGGACAUGUGGUCUCUGCUGAGGGGAUUAGGGUGGACCCUCAGAAAAUUGAAGCGAUUUUGGAGUGGAAGCCACCUAGGUCAGUGUCAGAAAUACGGUGUUUUCUAGGAUUGGCAGGAUACUACAGAAGGUUUGUGGAAGGUUUUUCUGUGAUGGCAGCACCUCUGACAAAACUCAUAAGGAAAGGAGUACCGUUUGUAUGGACUGAGAAGCAGCAGGAAGCUUUUGAGAAGUUGAAGAAAGUUCUGACUGAAGCACCUGUGUUAAUUUAGCCGGAGUCUGGGAAGGAUUUUACUGUGUUCAGUGACGCAUCACAUGUAGGUUUGGGCUGCGUGUUAAUGCAGGAGGGUAAGGUGGUGGCAUAUGCAUCACGACAACUUAAGCCUCACGAGGGGAACUAUCCUUGUAACGCCCGUUACCCGAGACCGUUUCCGGAGUCGAACACGAGGUGUUAACGGACUUAAUUCAUUACUUAAACAGCUCAUACAAUUCAUUUUAAAAUUUCCAGGCAAGCUGGCUAACUGCAUCACAGUCGCUUUAAAAAUCAUAUCUCGAGUUCCUAAACUCAAAAUCCAAUUCCGUAAAUUUUUCCUGAAACUAGACUCAUAUACCUAUCUACUAAUUUUUUUCUAGAAUUUUUGGUGAGGCCAAUUAGUACAGUUUAUUAGUUAAAGUCUCCCUUGUUUCAGGGUUUGACUACUCUGACCUCUAUGUAUUACGAAUCAGAUAUCUCCCUGUACAGAGCUUCAAUGACUAUGAUUUUUGUCUCUAAUAAAACUAAAUAAGGAAUCUGUACAUAUAAAGCAUGACUUCUAAUUAUCUUUGUAAAGUUUAUGGUAAAUUUACAAAGUCAGAAAAUGGGAUCCAGAAAUUGCUCUAGCCCUGUUUCACAAAAAUUUAAACAUCUCAUAAAAUAUAGCUCAUAUACCAAUUUUGCUUCUUCCAUAUGAAAAUAGACUCAUCAAGCUUCAAUUCCAUAACUUAUUCAUUAUUUAAUUUCAUUUAUACUAUUUUUAGUUAUUUUUCAAAUUCACAUCACUACUGCUGUCUGAAUCUAUUUUAUGGUAAAUUUUACCUAUUUCAUGGUUUCCAUGGAUUAGCUAGCAAUUUGACAUACAUAACACCAAAUAUGAUCAUGAUUAGCCAUUCCAAUGGCUAAUCAUUACCAAGCAUUUCCAUACCACUGAAUAACCAUAUCAUAAGACCAUAUAUACAAAAUGAUUAUAAUGCUAUCAUGCCAUACUCAAAAUAUACAAGCCAUUAUGCCAAGAUGGUAUACGGAUAGUGUGAGCGAGCCUCCGACCGUUCCCGAUUUUCGAGCUGGCUUGUCAAAACUACAAGGAAUGAAAAGGAGGAAGUAAGCAUAAAUGCUUAGUAAGCUCACAUGCAAAUAGCAAGUAACACAACUAUAUAAGCAAACAUAAAACAUCAUUUGCAUAAUCAUCACCGAGACAUUCAUAUCACAUUUUCAUUUAUCAUCUUACCAUAUUGUUGUUAUAUCGAGUUUUCAACCCGAGGGUUAAGUACAUACCUGUUCAAAGUAUCCAUUUCACAACACUUACCAAUACGUCCCUUUCAUCUUGAGUAUUCCUCCAUUUGAGUAGAACUUUACCCGUUGAACACAUCGGAAUAUAAUUCGGAUACAUGGAAAGUUUGCACAUAAGUGCCACAUAUGUAGCCAAGCUACUAUGUAACCCGCCCAUAAGCGAACUCGGACUCAACUCAACGAGCUCGGGCGUUUGCAUCCAUGAGUGAACUCGGACUCAACUCAACGAGUUCAGAUGCCUAGUUACAUCUCACGAACUCGGACUCAACUCAACGAGUUCAGACAUUUGCAUCCAUAAGUGAACUCAGACUCAACUCAACGAGUUCGGAUGCCCAAAUAUCCUAGUGACAUGUCACUUGUAUCCUAAUCUAUUCCUAAGGUUCAAACGGGAUUUUCCUCGAACACAUCUCCAUGCCAUCUUCCGUAAAAUACCGAAACCAAUACUCGGUAGCACUUUAUAUUUAACAAAUAAUUCACAUAAUUUGCAUUUUAUUCGAAAAUAACCACAAAGCAUAUAUUUCAUGAUAAAAAUCAGCAUAUCAUAUAAUUUACAUCAAUAACUUAAAAAUAACAAUUAUACUACAUUAUUUACACAUGAACAUACCUCGUAUGCGAAAAUGACUACUUUUACCAUUUCGUCCACAACUUGGUAUUUUCCCCAUUUUAGGCCAAAUUUUAGUUUUCCUUGCUCUAUCAUUUAAAAUAUAGUCUAAUUAGGACUCACAUUAUUCAAAUUGACCCAAACUCAUAUUUUGGAAAAAUUAUAGUUUUGCCCCUAAACUUUCACAUAUUUACACUUUGCUCCAAAGCUCGUAAAUUAAACUUCAGCCUAUUUUCUUAUGUUUUAUGACAUGCUGAUCAUUUUUCCCUUCUAUGGCAACAUCAAAUUCUCACUCUAACAUGUACUUAUGACUAUUAGGUAUUUUUACUGAUUAAGCCCUUUUGCUCGUUUUCGCUUAAAACCGAGUAGUACAAGUUGUCUAACAUAAUUUAAAACCUCAUAUUAUAUCAUAAAACACCAAAAUACACAAAUUUCACCUAUGGGUAUUUUUCCAAAUAUGAACCCUAGGUUGAAUUAUUGCUAGCAUAAGCUUAAUUGAGCUACCGGGACUCCAAAAACGUAAAAAUCAUUAAAAACGAGGCUAGAACGGACUUACAAUCGAGCUUGGAAGCUUGAAAAGCCCUAGCCAUGGUUUCUCCUUACUAUAUUCGGCCAUGGGGUUGAAGACGAGCAAAAUUGGCUUUUAAUUUUGUAUUUUAAUUCAUUUUACCCCUAAAUAACCAAAACGCCCUUACUACUAAACUUUCCAAAAAUUCCAUCCAUGUCCAAUUUUUGUCCAUAUACUUAGAAAUUGGUAAAAUUUCUAUUUAAGACCUCCUAAUUAAUAUUUCAAAACAAUUUCAUACUAGAAACUUCUAGAAUGCAAGUUUUGCAAAUUAUUUGAUUUAGUCCCUAAUUUCAAUUUAAGUACUUUAUGCAUAAAAUUUCUUCACGAAAUUUUUUCACAAUCAUGCAAUCAUAUCAUAGACCUUAAAAUAAUCAUAAAAUAAUUAUUUCUAUCUCGGAUUUUGUGGUCACGAAACCACUAUUUCGACUAGGCCCAAAAUCAGGAUAUUACAACUCUCCCCCCUUUUAGGGAUUUUCGUCCCCGAAAAUCUUACCAGAAAAGUGGUCUUCACUUUUAAUCUCAUAUUCGAUGCCAAAGAACUUUCACUUAGACUGUACCUCCAAUACAUCUCUUUAAUUUCUCAUAUGAUCUGAAAGCUUACAGUCUCAACUUUCAACUGUUCUUAAAUUUUCAACCCUUCUCAGUUUCCCAUGAUAUCAUGACAUAAAACCCAGAUCUUAACUUGAUUAAUGGAGACCGGAAUUCCAAGAAAUCCAACAAUCAAAGAGACCUGAAAUUCCAUGAAUCUGAUAAGUAGGAAUUCAUUCAAUAUAGAUAUGAUUUAUAGAUCUCGCCAAACAUUUAACAAUAGGAUACAUCACAUUUUCCUCUUUCCGCUAUGGAAAUAAUUCUGAUAUGGCCUAAAGAAUAAUCCUUCUCAUUUCCAUCCCAAUAUCAACACUAACAAGGACAAUUUUGAUAGAUCCCAAUGCUCGGCUUUAACCCCGUUAACAAUUCCGAUUUUAUGUAACAUCGGAUGCUCUAAACUAUCACAUUACCUCACUGUCUUGAAACACAUCACAAUUCAUACAACAGUACAUUAUUGAAAGUCAGGAAGUCUUUACUCAAUGUAGACUAGUUUAGUUCAGACGCUUCGGUUACCAAUAUUCUCAUCUAUCCGAACUCUGUCAACAUGUAAUAAACUUUUCAGCUUUAACAAGACGAAAACCUUAUCAUUCGUAGUGACUUUAACUAAUAUCAAACUCUUUCUAAUAAAUAUACACUUCUCGUUCAGACCAUUUACUCUUUUAUUUGUACAAAAUGAAAUUCUAUUAUCAGACUUGGGAAAAAUAAUCCUGAAAUAAUUGUCACAUGAAAUCUUUCAAAUAGAUAAUUCACCAUACCAACAGAAACUCGCGCUUUUAUCACUUAUGCCUUUACUGAUGUCGAAUCCUUACACAGAAAUUAGAAAAAACCCCAAUACUAAAAUCACCACAUUACCAAGAUCAAAUUAGAAGUAUAGUCAUAUUUGACAUGAUUAUCACGAGCUGAAGAACGCACUUCGAACACGAGUCAUAAUUGACAAAUUAUGGAACAAAGAUAACAAGGAAACUGAAUAACGAAAUCCAAGAUAGAGAAAUCCAGAAUAAAGAAAUCCAGAAUAAAGAAACCCAAGAUACGAUACUAUGCCGGAGAAUCGAAAACCAAACUCAUAGAGAAAAAACAGAAUACCCCGAUAAUUCUUCAAAGAAAGAAAGUCCAGAAGAAAACAUCAUUUAAUCCCACUGAAAUCAAAUAUAACAAGAUCAAUAUAUCUUCCCAUACAUAUAUAUCAGAUGAAGCAUCAAGUAGAAGAAACAGAAUCAUAAUAUCAUAUGUAUUCUCUCAUCAAUUCUUAUCAGACAAAAUGAAAUAGAAUACCUGAUGAAAUAGAGCAAUAUAAAUUAUAAACCAGUUAGACUACCAAGGCUUUCAUCCAACACCAGAAUUAGAAGACAUUCCCAUAUAACAAGAAUUUCUUCAGAAGAUCAAUAGCCAUAGAAAUAUUUUUGAGAACGGGUAAACACAUAGAACAUCUCAAAAGAGACUGCUAAAUUUGUCCAGUCAUAACUGUCACACUCAGAUAGUUCACAUUUCAAUUAUCAUUUCCCCAACUAGUUCUGCCGUCACAAAUUUCAUAUUAGACCAUUCACUAAAGAAGGCCAAUUCUGAAUAAAUUUUGAUUUACACUUUUCUCGACCUUGCACCUGAGUAAUUCGGUUUACCAAGGAUAAUUCCUUUUCUAACUGGGACAGUGCAUAACUCCAAUAAUCUUUACGUCAAUCUGAUACUUUACUGGAUCUGACUUUACUUAUCAGCUCAUUUUCAAUCUCUAAUCAUACUUAUAAUUAUUCUAUCACUGUACUCUUUGGGUUCUCAACCGGAAACUUAUUCAAUACAAAUCUCAUGAAAUUCCAUUAUAAGUACCACAUCGGUAAGGGGGAGGGAUUGUAGGACCUCUGACUCGACUUUCUUAUACAUACACAUAUGACACAACUUCCAUCAUCAUAGUAACAUCAUCAAAAUCAUGUCAUUCAUUCAUGUUGGCUUACACCAAUUUUCCUAUUGUCCCAUUUAGACAAUAUACUUAUGCAUACAUUCUAUGUUUUCUAGAUAGCUUUACUUAUCCAUUCAUUUAAUUAAUUUAAUUCAUGCUCAUGACAUCAUAUAAGGCCAACCAAACAUAGAUAUUUGCAUCACAAUCACAACUUUCAUUUCGUGCAUCAUCAUGUACAUAUCAUUACAAUCAUAUAAUUCAGUCCAACAAUUUAACAUAGAUAAGUUCAUUUCAUUAUAAUCAUUUAUCUCAUAAAAAUUAUAUAUCAUUAGCAUUCAUCAACAUUAGACGUCCAAAUCAAGACAAGGACAUUUUCAUUCGUAUCAUAAUAUUAUGACUUUUAUUCAUACCUCUACUACUUUCUAUUUAUUCCGUUCAUCUUAUCAAGUAAGCCACAUACAUUACAUCAUAUGAGCAUUAAGCAAAUAUGAAUAUUUAUCACAUAUGUAUCAUAAACUUUUAUUCAUACUUUUCUGAACCGAGACUUAUCAUAAUCAUAAUUUUACUCAAAUACCUUCACAUAACAUUGAACAUGGUCGGCGCAGCUCGGUUGGAGAGUACCCUGUCUAAAUAAGGCUGUACUCAUACGCGUCGGAAGACAUCACACUAUCACAGAUGAGCGGCAUGUAUAGCUAAACUUUUACACAUGCUAAGUUAGUCCGAGAACCGACUAAACCUUCUCUGAUACCACUAAAUGUAACGCCCCGUACCCGAGACCAUUUUCGGAGUCGAACACGAGGUGUUAACGGACUUAAUUCAUUACUUAAACAGCUCAUACAAUUCAUUUUAAAAUUUCCAGACAAGCUGGCUAACUGCAUCACAGUCGCUUUAAAAAUCAUAUCUCGAGUUCCAAAACUCAAAAUCCAAUUCCGUAAAUUUUUCCUGAAACUAGACUCAUAUAUAUCUACUAAUUUGUUUCUAGAAUUUUUGGUCAGGCCAAUUAGUACAGUUUAUUAGUUAAAGUCUCCCCUAUUUCAGGGUUUGACUACUCUGACCUCUGUGUAUUACGAAUCAGAUAUCUCCCUGUACAGAGCUUCAAUGAGUACGCUGUUUGUCUCUAAUAAAACUAGACUAAAUAAGGAAUCUGUACAUAUAAAGCAUGACUUCUAAUUAUCUUUUUAAAAUUUAUGGUUAAUUUCCAAAGUCAGAACAGGGGAUCCAAAAAUCGCUCUGGCCCUGUUUCACAAAAAUUUAAACAUCUCAUAAAAUAUAGCUCAUAUACCUGUUUUUCUUCUUCCAUAUGAAAAUAGACUCAUCAAGCUUCGAUUCCAUAACUUAUUCAUUAUUUAAUUCCAUUUUUACUAUUUUUAGUGAUUUUUCAAAUUCACGUCACUACAGCUGUCUGAAUCUAUUUUAUGGUAAAUUUUACCUAUUUCAUGGUUUCCAUGGAUUAGCUAGCAAUUUGACAUACAUAACACCAAAUAUGAUCAUGAUUAGCCAUUCCAAUGGCUAAUCAUUACCAAGCAUUUCCAUACCACUCAAUAACCAUAUCAUAAGACCAUAUAUACAAAAUGAUUAUAAUGCUAUACAUGCCAUACUCAAAAUAUACAAGCCAUUAUGCCAAGAUGGUAUACGCAGAGUGUGAGCGAGCCUUCGACCGUUCCCGAUUUCUGAGCUAGCUUGUCAAAACUACAAGGAAUGAAAAGGAGGAAGUAAGCAUAAAUGCUUAGUAAGCUCACAUGCAAAUAGCAAGUAACACAACUAUAUAAGCAAACAUAAAACAUCAUUUGCAUAAUCAUCACCGAGACAUUCAUAUCACAUUUUCAUUUAUCAUCUUACCAUAUUGUUGUUAUAUCGAGUUUUCAACCCGAGGGUUAAGUACAUACCUGUUCAAAGUAUCCAUUUCACAACACUUACCAAUACGUCCCUUUCAUCUUGAGUAUUCCUCCAUUUGAGUAGAACUUUACCCGUUGAACACAUCGGAAUAUAAUUCGGAUACAUGGAAAGUUUGCACAUAAGUGCCACAUAUGUAGCCAAGCUACUAUGUAACCCGCCCAUAAGCGAACUCAGACUCAACUCAACGAGCUCGGGCGUUUGCAUCCAUGAGUGAACUCGGACUCAACUCAACGAGUUCGGAUGCCUAGUUACAUCUCACGAACUCGGACUCAACUCAACAAGUUCAGACAUUUGCAUCCAUAAGUGAACUCAGACUCAACUCAACGAGUUCGGAUGCCCAAAUAUCCUAGUGACAUGUCAGUUGUAUCCUAAUCUAUUCCUAAGGUUCAAACAGGAUUUUCCUCGAACACAUCUCCAUGCCAUCUUCCGUAAAAUACCGAAACCAAUACUCGGUAGCACUUUAUAUUUAACAAAUAAUUCACAUAAUUUGCAUUUUAUUCGAAAAUAACCACAAAGCAUAUAUUUCAUGAUAAAAAUCAGCAUAUCAUAUAAUUUACAUCAAUAACUUAAAAAUAACAAUUAUACUACAUUAUUUACACAUGAACAUACCUCGUAUGCGAAAAUGGCUACUUUUACCAUUUCGUCCACAACUUGGUAUUUUCCCCAUUUUAGCCCGAAUUUUAGUUUUCCUUGCUCUAUCAUUUAAAAUAUAGUCUAAUUAGGACUCACAUUAUUCAUAUUGACCCAAACUCAUAUUUUGGAAAAAUUAUAGUUUUGCCCCUAAACUUUCACAUAUUUACACUUUUGCUCCAAAGCUCGUAAAUUAAACUUCAGCCUAUUUUCUUAUGUUUUAUGACAUGCUGAUCAUUUUUCCCUUCUAUGGCAACAUCAAAUUCUCACUCUAACAUGUACUUAUGACUAUUAGGUAUUUUUACUGAUUAAGCCCUUUUGCUCGUUUUCGCUUAAAACCGAGUAGUACAAGUUGUCUAACAUAAUUUAAAACCUCAUAUUAUAUCAUAAAACACCAAAAUACACAAAUUUCACCUAUGGGUAUUUUUCCAAAUAUGAACCCUAGGUUGAAUUAUUGCUAGCAUAAGCUUAAUUGAGCUACCGGGACUCCAAAAACGUAAAAAUCAUUAAAAACGAGGCUAGAACGGACUUACAAUCGAGCUUGGAAGCUUGAAAAGCCCUAGCCAUGGUUUCUCCUUACUAUAUUCGGCCAUGGGGUUGAAGACGAGCAAAAUUGGCUUUUAAUUUUGUAUUUUAAUUCAUUUUACCCCUAAAUGACCAAAACGCCCUUACUACUAAACUUUCCAAAAAUUCCAUCCAUGUCCAAUUUUUGUCCAUAUACUUAGAAAUUGGUAAAAUUGCUAUUUAAGACCUCCUAAUUAAUAUUUCAAAACAAUUUCAUACUAGAAACUUCUAGAAUGCAAGUUUUGCAAAUUAUUUGAUUUAGUCCCUAAUUUCAAUUUAAGUACUUUAUGCAUAAAAUUUCUUCACGAAAUUUUUACACAAUCAUGCAAUCAUAUCAUAGACCUUAAAAUAAUCAUAAAAUAAUUAUUUCUAUCUCGGAUUUUGUGGUCACGAAACCACUAUUUCGACUAGGCCCAAAAUCAGGAUAUUACAACUCUCCCCCCUUUUAGGGAUUUUCGUCCCCGAAAAUCUUACCAGAAAAGUGGUCUUCACUUUUAAUCUCAUAUUCGAUGCCAAAGAACUUUCACUUAGACUGUACCUCCAAUACAUCUCUUUAAUUUCUCAUAUGAUCUGAAAGCUUACAGUCUCAACUUUCAACUGUUCUUAAAUUUUCAACCCUUCUCAGUUUCCCAUGAUAUCAUGACAUAAAACCCAGAUCUUAACUUGAUUAAUGGAGACCGGAAUUCCAAGAAAUCCAACAAUCAAAGAGACCUGAAAUUCCAUGAAUCUGAUAAGUAGGAAUUCAUUCAAUAUAGAUAUGAUUUAUAGAUCUCGCCAAACAUUUAACAAUAGGAUACAUCACAUUUUCCUCUUUCCGCUAUGGAAAUAAUUCUGAUAUGGCCUAAAGAAUAAUCCUUCUCAUUUCCAUCCCAAUAUCAACACUAACAAGGACAAUUUUGAUAGAUCCCAAUGCUCGGCUUUAACCCCGUUAACAAUUCCGAUUUUAUGUAACAUCGGAUGCUCUAAACUAUCACAUUACCUCACUGUCUUGAAACACAUCACAAUUCAUACAACAGUACAUUAUUGAAAGUCAGGAAGUCUUUACUCAAUGUAGACUAGUCUAGUUCAGACGCUUCGGUUACCAAUAUUCUCAUCUAUCCGAACUCUGUCAACAUGUAAUAAACUUUUCAGCUUUAACAAGACGAAAACCUUAUCAUUCGUAGUGACUUUAACUAAUAUCAAACUCUUUCUAAUAAAUAUACACUUCUCGUUCAGACCAUUUACUCUUUUAUUUGUACAAAAUGAAAUUCUAUUAUCAGACUUGGGAAAAAUAAUCCUGAAAUAAUUGUCACAUGAAAUCUUUCAAAUAGAUAAUUCACCAUACCAACAGAAACUCGCGCUUUUAUCACUUAUGCCUUUACUGAUGUCGAAUCCUUACACAGAAAUUAGAAAAAACCCCAAUACUAAAAUCACCACAUUACCAAGAUCAAAUUAGAAGUAUAGUCAUAUUUGACAUGAUUAUCACGAGCUGAAGAACGCACUUCGAACACGAGUCAUAAUUGACAAAUUAUGGAACAAAGAUAACAAGGAAACUGAAUAACGAAAUCCAAGAUAGAUAAAUCCAAAAUAAAGAAAUCCAGAAUAAAGAAACCCAAGAUACGAUACUAUGCCGGAGAAUCGAAAACCAAACUCAUAGAGAAAAAAUAGAAUACCCCGAUAAUUCUUCAAAGAAAGAAAGUCCAGAAGAAAACAUCAUUUAAUCCCACUGAAAUCAAAUAUAACAAGAUCAAUAUAUCUUCCCAUACAUAUAUAUCAGAUGAGGCAUCAAGUAGAAGAAACAUAAUCAUAAUAUCAUAUGUAUUCUCUCAUCAAUUCUUAUCAGACAAAAUGAAAUAGAAUACCUGAUGAAAUAGAGCAAUAUAAAUUAUAAACCAGUCAGACUACCAAGGCUUUCAUCCAACACCAGAAUUAGAAGACAUUCCCAUAUAACAAGAAUUUCUUCAGAAGAUCAAUAGCCAUAGAAAUAUUUUUGAGAACGGGUAAACACAUAGAACAUCUCAAAAGAGACUGCUAAAUUUGUCCAGUCAUAACUGUCGCACUUAGAUAGUUCACAUUUCAAUUAUCAUUUCCCCAACUAGUUCUGCCGUCACAAAUUUCAUAUUAGACCAUUCACUAAAGAAGGCCAAUUCUGAAUAAAUUUUGAUUUACACUUUUCUCGACCUUGCACCUGAGUAAUUCGGUUUACCAAGGAUAAUUCCUUUUCUAACUGGGACAGUGCAUAACUCCAAUAAUCUUUACGUCAAUCUGAUACUUUACUGGAUCUGACUUUACUUAUCAGCUCAUUUUCAAUCUCUAAUCAUACUUAUAAUUAUUCUAUCACUGUACUCUUUGGGUUCUCAACCGGAAACUUAUUCAAUACAAAUCUCAUGAAAUUCCAUUAUAAGUACCACAUCGGUAAGGGGGAGGGAUUGUAGGACCUCUGACUCGACUUUCUUAUACAUACACAUAUGACACAACUUCCAUCAUCAUAGUAACAUCAUCAAAAUCAUGUCAUUCAUUCAUGUUGGCUUACACCAAUUUUCCUAUUGUCCCAUUUAGACAAUAUACUUAUGCAUACAUUCUAUGUUUUCUAGAUAGCUUUACUUAUCCAUUCAUUUAAUUAAUUUAAUUCAUGCUCAUGACAUCAUAUAAGGCCAACCAAACAUAGAUAUUUGCAUCACAAUCACAACUUUCAUUUCGUGCAUCAUCAUGUACUUAUCAUUACAAUCAUAUAAUUCAGUCCAACAAUUUAACAUAGAUAAGUUCAUUUCAUUAUAAUCAUUUAUCUCAUAAAAAUUAUAUAUCAUUAGCAUUCAUCAACAUUAGACGUCCAAAUCAAGACAAGGACAUUUUCAUUCGUAUCAUAAUAUUAUGACUUUUAUUCAUACCUCUACUACUUUCUAUUUAUUCCGUUCAUCUUAUCAAGUAAGCCACAUACAUUACAUCAUAUGAGCAUUAAGCAAAUAUGAAUAUUUAUCACAUAUGUAUCAUAAACUUUUAUUCAUACUUUUCUGAACCGAGACUUAUCAUAAUCAUAAUUUUACUCAAAUACCUUCACAUAACAUUGAACAUGGUCGGCGCAGCUCGGUUGGAGAGUACCCUGUCUAAAUAAGGCUGUACUCAUACGCGUCGGAAGACAUCACACUAUCACAGAUGAGCGGCAUGUAUAGCUAAACUUUUACACAUGCUAAGUUAGUCCGAGAACCGACUAAACCUUCUCUGAUACCACUAAAUGUAACGCCCCGUACCCGAGACCAUUUUCGGAGUCAAACACGAGGUGUUAACGGACUUAAUUCAUUACUUAAACAGCUCAUACAAUUCAUUUUAAAAUUUCCAGACAAGCUGGCUAACUGCAUCACAGUCGCUUUAAAAAUCAUAUCUCGAGUUCCAAAACUCAAAAUCCAAUUCCGUAAAUUUUUCCUGAAACUAGACUCAUAUAUAUAUCUACUAAUUUGUUUCUAGAAUUUUUGGUCAGGCCAAUUAGUACAGUUUAUUAGUUAAAGUCUCCCCUAUUUCAGGGUUUGACUACUCUGACCUCUGUGUAUUACGAAUCAGAUAUCUCCCUGUACAGAGCUUCAAUGAGUAUGCUGUUUGUCUCUAAUAAAACUAGACUAAAUAAGGAAUCUGUACAUAUAAAGCAUGACUUCUAAUUAUCUUUUUAAAAUUUAUGGUUAAUUUCCAAAGUCAGAACAGGGGAUCCAAAAAUCGCUCUGGCCCUGUUUCACAAAAAUUUAAACAUCUCAUAAAAUAUAGCUCAUAUACCUGUUUUUCUUCUUCCAUAUGAAAAUAGACUCAUCAAGCUUCGAUUCCAUAACUUAUUCAUUAUUUAAUUCCAUUUUUACUAUUUUUAGUGAUUUUUCAAAUUCACGUCACUACAGCUGUCUGAAUCUAUUUUAUGGUAAAUUUUACCUAUUUCAUGGUUUCCAUGGAUUAGCUAGCAAUUUGACAUACAUAACACCAAAUAUGAUCAUGAUUAGCCAUUCCAAUGGCUAAUCAUUACCAAGCAUUUCCAUACCACUCAAUAACCAUAUCAUAAGACCAUAUAUACAAAAUGAUUAUAAUGCUAUACAUGCCAUACUUAAAAUAUACAAGCCAUUAUGCCAAGAUGGUAUACGCAGAGUGUGAGCGAGCCUUCGACCGUUCCCGAUUUCUGAGCUAGCUUGUCAAAACUACAAGGAAUGAAAAGGAGGAAGUAAGCAUAAAUGCUUAGUAAGCUCACAUGCAAAUAGCAAGUAACACAACUAUAUAAGCAAACAUAAAACAUCAUUUGCAUAAUCAUCACCGAGACAUUCAUAUCACAUUUUCAUUUAUCAUCUUACCAUAUUGUUGUUAUAUCGAGUUUUCAACCCGAGGGUUAAGUACAUACCUGUUCAAAGUAUCCAUUUCACAACACUUACCAAUACGUCCCUUUCAUCUUGAGUAUUCCUCCAUUUGAGUAGAACUUUACCCGUUGAACACAUCGGAAUAUAAUUCGGAUACAUGGAAAGUUUGCACAUAAGUGCCACAUAUGUAGCCAAGCUACUAUGUAACCCGCCCAUAAGCGAACUCGGACUCAACUCAACGAGCUCGGGUGUUUGCAUCCAUGAGUGAACUCGGACUCAACUCAACGAGUUCGGAUGCCUAGUUACAUCUCACGAACUCGGACUCAACUCAACGAGUUCAGACAUUUGCAUCCAUAAGUGAACUCAGGCUCAACUCAACGAGUUCGGAUGCCCAAAUAUCCUAGUGACAUGUCACUUGUAUCCUAAUCUAUUCCUAAGGUUCAAACGGGAUUUUCCUCGAACACAUCUCCAUGCCAUCUUCCGUAAAAUACCGAAACCAAUACUCGGUAGCACUUUAUAUUUAACAAAUAAUUCACAUAAUUUGCAUUUUAUUCGAAAAUAACCACAAAGCAUAUAUUUCAUGAUAAAAAUCAGCAUAUCAUAUAAUUUACAUCAAUAACUUAAAAAUAACAAUUAUACUACAUUAUUUACACAUGAACAUACCUCGUAUGCGAAAAUGACUACUUUUACCAUUUCGUCCACAACUUGGUAUUUUCCCCAUUUUAGCCCGAAUUUUAGUUUUCCUUGCUCUAUCAUUUAAAAUAUAGUCUAAUUAGGACUCACAUUAUUCAAAUUGACCCAAACUCAUAUUUUGGAAAAAUUAUAGUUUUGCCCCUAAACUUUCACAUAUUUACACUUUUGACCCAAAGCUCGUAAAUUAAACUUCAGCCUAUUUUCUUAUGUUUUAUGCCAUGCUGAUCAUUUUUCCCUUCUAUGGCAACAUCAAAUUCUCACUCUAACAUGUACUUAUGACUAUUAGGUAUUUUUACUGAUUAAGCCCUUUUGCUCGUUUUCGCUUAAAACCGAGUAGUACAAGUUGUCUAACAUAAUUUAAAACCUCAUAUUAUAUCAUAAAACACCAAAAUACACAAAUUUCACCUAUGGGUAUUUUUCCAAAUAUGAACCCUAGGUUGAAUUAUUGCUAGCAUAAGCUUAAUUGAGCUACCAGGACUCCAAAAAUGUAAAAAUAAUUAAAAAUGAGGCUAGAACGGACUUACAAUCGAGCUUGGAAGCUUGAAAAGCCCUAGCCAUGGUUUCUCCUUACUAUAUUCGGCCAUGGGGUUGAAGACGAGCAAAAUUGGCUUUUAAUUUUGUAUUUUAAUUCAUUUUACCCCUAAAUGACCAAAACGCCCUUACUACUAAACUUUCCAAAAAUUCCAUCCAUGUCCAAUUUUUGUCCAUAUACUUAGAAAUUGGUAAAAUUGCUAUUUAAGACCUCCUAAUUAAUAUUUCAAAACAAUUUCAUACUAGAAACUUCUAGAAUGCAAGUUUUGCAAAUUAUUCGAUUUAGUCCCUAAUUUCAAUUGAAGUACUUUAUGCAUAAAAUUUCUUCACGAAAUUUUCACACAAUCAUGCAAUCAUAUCAUAGACCUUAAAAUAAUCAUAAAAUAAUUAUUUCUAUCUUGGAUUUUUUGGUCACGAAACCACUAUUUCGACUAGGCCCAAAAUCAGGAUAUUACAAUCCUACUCAUGAUGUGUAGUUGGCAGCAGUGAUAUUUGCACUUAAGAUUUGGAGACAUUACUUGUACAGAGAAAGGUGUGUUAUAUACACAGACCAUAAGAGUCUUAAGUAUUUGUUGACUCAGAAGGAGCUGAACCUUAGGCAAAGGAGAUGGAUUGAGUUGCUUAAGGAUUAUGACUGUUCGAUCGAGUAUCACCCAGGCAAGGCUAGUGUGGUAGUCGAUGCUUUAAGUCAUAGAACUGUAUCUGAUCUGAGAGCAAUGUUUGCUCGUCUGAGUCUGUAUGAUGAUGGCAGUAUUGCAAGUAAGGCCAACCUGGGUGGACCAGAUUAAGGAAAAGCAAUUGGAAGAUGAGUAGUUGGUCGCUCGUUUUCAACAAGUUAAGGAAGGGAAAACUUCUGAGUUUGGGUUAAAUGGUGAAGGAGUUUUGUGUUUCCGAGGAAGAAUUUGUGUUCCGAAGAACUCUGACUUGAGGCAGACAAUAUUGAAGGAAGCUCAUGGGGGACUUUGUGCCAUGCAUCCUGGAGGGAAUAGGUUGUAUCACGACUUGCGAGAAUUGUACUGGUGACCUGAGCUUAAACGAGAAGUAACAGAGUUUGUAGGGAAAUGUCUGACAUGCCAGCAAGUGAAAGCUGAGCAUCAAUUACCUUCUGGACUGUUGCAGCCAGUGAAGGUACCACUUUUGAAGUGGGAGAAGGUAACCAUGGACUUUGUGAGUGGGCUGCCUUUGACACCAUCGAAGAAAGACUCGGUGUGGGUGAUUGUGGAAAGGUUGACCAAAUUGGCCCAUUUCAUACCUGUACGUACUGACUUUUCACUUCAAAAGUUAGCCAAGUUGUAUGUGGCAGAGAUUGUGCGACUUCAUGGAGUCCCAGUUUUGAUUAUCUCUGACCGAGAUCCCAGAUUCACAUCUCGAUUUUGGCAAAAGUUGCAUGAGGCGUUGGGGACGUGAUUGAACUUUAGUACGGCUUUCCAUCCCCAAACUGAUGGUCAAUCGGAAAGGGUUAUUCAGAUUCUGGAGGACAUGUUGAGGGGAUACAUGAUUGACUUUCGAGGUAGUUGGGAGGAUUACUUGCCGUUGGCAGAAUUUACGUACAAUAAUAGUUACCAGGCGAGUAUUCGAAUGGUACCGUAUGGACGAAGGUGUCGUACACAUAGUUGUUGGACUGAAUUAGGAGAGUGACAAGUUCUUGGACUAGAGUUGGUAGCUGAUACUGAGGAUAAGGUCAGAAUAAUUAGGGAUCAGUUAAAAGAAGCAUCUGAUAGGCAAAAGUCGUAUGCAGAUUUGAAGCGUAAGGAGAUUUAAUACUCAGUAGGUGAUAUGGUCUUCUUAAAGGUUUUUUCUUGGAAGAAGAUAUUAAGGUUUGGUAAGAAGGGCAAGUUGAGUCUUUGGUUCAUUGGGCCUUAUCGGGUUUUGAAGCGAGUAGACCCAGUGGCUUAUCAAUUGGAAUUGCCUCCAGAGUUAGACAGGAUUCACGAUGUUUUUCACGUCUCCAUGUCAAGGUGUUAUCGUUCUGACCCUGCUCAUGUUGUGCCGGUUGCAGAUAUUGAAGUGCAAACUGAUUUGACCUUCAAGGAGGAGCCUGUGCAAAUAUUGGCUUGAGAUGUUAAGGUUCUAAGAAGGAAAUCUGUCCCAUUAGUGAAAGUUCUUUGGCAUAAUCAUGGCAGAGAUGAAGCUACUUGGGAGCCAGAAGAGGCGAUGCAACAACAAUACCCUCAUCUGUUUGGAUCAAGUAAAUUUCGAGGAUGAAAUUUCUUUAAGGAGGGUAGAGGUGUAACGCCCUAAUUUUCGAGAAUUCUGUGUAUGCCGGAAAAAUUUAAAAUUUCUGUGUUCUAUCUGCUUGGCGUAGGUUUAAUUAUGUUAGUGGGCCUCUAGAAGGCCCAAGCUUCGGUUAAAACCCAGUAUUUUUUAAUUAAUUUUAAUUCCAUAGGAAAAAAAGGGGUUCUGGUUAACUGGGCUUUUAAGUAUUAAUUGGGUAAAAUAAAACACAAGGAAGCAGGUGGAAAAGUGGCAUGUGACGCCACUGGGAAGGCUAUAAAAGUGGUGUGUGGAUGCUAGGGAGAACCAAGGUUCAAGUCACAAUGGGAGCAUAUUAAGGGAAUUAUUUUUUAUGUUUAGAAAGGGUAAGUAAUGGAACUCAAGUAAAAGACUGUCAGGAGGAGAUUGAGUAAGGAGGGGAUAAGGGAGAGGAUUUAGGAGCUGAUUAGGGAGAGCAGUAUUGGCCGAAUGAUGGACUCUUAAGGAGCAAGAGUUGGCCUGCCAAGGGUUUCGUUAGGGGGGCAAAUUUCGGCUAGGUUAAAUGCCAAGUAUAAAUUCGGCAUUUAGGGGUAAGUUGUGCCGUUUUUCUGACCAUCCUUCCUCCUCCUCCUUUCUUUUCUUUUUCUCUCCAUCUACCUUCUCCUCUUCCUUUCUCCAUAGCCGAAUCCUUCUACCACUCUACUAUACACUACUUUCUUACUAUUAUUUUUAAGCCUUACAGCCGAAUAUCACAAAAGCUGAAAUCCCGAAAGUUCAUAUUGUCUGUACCAAAUUCUCCUAGCAAAAACCUACUGAUUUUUCUUCAUCCUUUUUGAUCAAUUCUUUCUUUUUUUGAACCCUAAACCUCUAUCGACAAAGCCAUUACAAAACCCCCAUCUUUUCUUCACUGUUACAAAAAAAAUCGAAAACGCAUAGCCAUAGGGACAUAGUCGAAUUUUAAGAUCACUAAAGGCUCGACUUUUGUUAUCAUUUGAGGGGUUAGAUCCGCAUCAAAAUUGAGUAGGAGUUAAUUGGAAUCAUUGACCGAAGGAACCGGUGGUAAGUUUUUGAGCCUAAUCUUUAUUUCAGGUUUUAGAAAAAGCCGAAACCCCUAAAGGUUAUGGAGACUAUCGAUUUGGGAUUAAAGCUCUAAGGGUUGUGAUAACUAUUUUAUUUUUGAUGCUACUGUGAUCUAGAGGCUACUUAUCAAAGGCUUGGACAAGUGGAACGACUGGAUCUAGACAUAAUCGCUAAUUUCAGCAAAGGUAGGAUCACUAGUGCCUAAGGUGCUAUUGGCCGAAUAUGGUAAGGGGUUAAUACGUAGUUCAUUUUCGAUAGUUAGAUUAACGUGUUAGUAAUCCAAUUGUAGGUAGUUCGUGUGUGGAUCUCAUCAGCAUAUCAUCGCAAACAGGUGUGUAACUGACACCCUCUUAUAGACUAGAUCGGCAAAAGCCGAAAAGCUGAAAUGCCGAAAAGCUGAUAUUUUGAGAACUUGCGAGUGUACGAAUGCUCGUGAGAUUAAUAGUUUGAUGUAUAUGGUAAAUUAAAGUGAUAAGAUUGUAGAGUGCACGAUUUUGUGCAUUUCGAUGUUUUUGGGCUUAAUGGGCCAAAAUCGGGAUAACGGGUCAACGGGCUCAAUUCCGUAAGAAAAUGCAGUAAGUGUUUUUGGUCGUACGUAAAUGGCUAUGUUAUGCAUGAAAACCUUAAGAAUAGUUAAAUUACUUGAAUACCCCUAUGUAUGGAAAAUUACUGUUAUACCCCUAGGUGUAAAAUUACCAUUAUACCCCUAGGGUUUCUUUUAACUAAAAAGCAUGAUGAUCUGAUUCUGUAUGAUGUAUGCCAUGAUUGUAUAUCUGUUGCAUGGGGACUUGGGUUAUAUUAUGGAGGAAGUGUCCUAGUGGCUACGCCACAAUUAUCUGAUCUGGUGGCUCUGCCACAUAUAUCUGUUCUGGUGGCUCUGCCACGAUUAUCUGUAUCUGGUGACUCUGUCGCAUUAUCUGUUUUGGUAGCCAUGCUGCAUAUUUCUGUGGCGUGUAGCGGUUGGGUGGGUCGAGUAGUCUCCCCACAUGGUGAAAGGUUGGUAUGGGGGUGCAUAUGGUUGGAUAUGGGUUGGGUUUUGCAUAAACAUGUAAUAUUUGUUCUGAUCUGUUAUCGGCCUAUGGGCUUUAUUCUGAAUUCUGUUCUGGGUUAAGGCCAACUUAUUCUAUUUUUUGUGGUUUGAACCCAUAUAGGCUAUGGUUGGGUUAAUUUACACACUGAGUUUCCCCAAACUCACCCCUUCAUUUUCAUCCACGCAGGUAAUCCCCAACCAUAGUGGGCCUGGAGCUGUGAAGGAUUCGGAGUGGCUACACGUUCUGUAAAUUUGAUUUUUCUUCUGGUGAACUAGGCAUCCUUUUAUUUACGCUUAAAAUUUUGGGUUUUUAAAUGUAAUAAGGCCGCUUAAUUUUUCUUGAUGGUUUUAAUAUGUUUUGUUAAGAUAGGUAUUACUUAUAUUUAACUGUUGAAAUUGGAUAGCUCUAGGGCGCGUUUCCAAGAACAGUGAUUGAUUUCGAAAUAACAUGACAACAAGCAAAGCUUCUGCAAUGAAAAUAUUUUCCAAAAUUAAUCACCUUUCCUAAAAAGGACUUAAUCAAAUUGGUUUCCUGAAAAUAUACAUGACAUGGAGGUGUGGCAAUGGCGGUGUGCAUGUCUAGGAUUGGAUCCGAAGGGAGCUUGGUACUUAAGCAGUCCGAUGGACUCACCUCCUCUUUUUCCGAUUUCCUACCUGGUGCACAACUACCAUUCACUUUAACUUAUAAUGAAAUUAUUUUUUUAAAAACACUAAGUAAGUUUUUCUAGACCAAUAAUAUAAAAUGUUUUGAACGCUUCGAUGUGGCACGUCGAAUCUGGCCAUAACGUCUAGGCCAGGUUUGGGGUGUUACACCGACUGUGGUAGAGGUUGAUUAGUCCAUAAGUACUGUGCCAAAAGAAUAUUAUAUCUAGUGGUAGCUAUGGUCGUGGUCGAUCAGGACAUAGCAGCCUUGGAGAACCUUUCCCGGUGGAGUUUUUAGUUCCUAUGCGAUGAUGAGCUUAAGAGCUCUAUAUAACUGUGAUAAAAUCAGGAACUUUUUAGGGGAUAGUAGGAAGAAUAAUAACUCAUAAAGAAAUAGCCGAAAUUGGUACUUAAAAAUAAAAUUCUAAAAUCUAAUAAAAAUAAAAAGUAGUUUUAAUAAAAAUUAAAAAUAUAAAAUAAUAAAUAAAUGUUUUUAAACAUCUUCAUGGCUGGAUGGUUCGCGAGGUAGGACUGGCGAGAGAUGUGGAGGUGCUGACAAAUCUGCUGUAGAGUAGCAUCAAUGUUGUCAAAUCAUUGAAAACACUACUGCUCGAAUCAAGUGAGGCGCUCAGAGAUGUCAGCAUAUAAAGCCGUCGCAUGAACUGGACGAGAGGGUGGUGGUGGCUGAGUCAGUGGGUCCUCGUGCUGUGGAGGGACAUCAUCAGGAAUGUCCUCAUAGACCUCCUCCUCGGUAGAUUGGAUGAGUCGAUAUUGUGGAGGGUAGGUUCCUCGGUGCUUUUCGAUAUCCUCAUGCUAAGCAUGCUCGAAAUGCCUUAUGGAGACAUCUGGCCAAUGAGGGUCAAGGAUGAUUCUUGGGCCGCGGUGUCAAGGAGCCCGAAGUGUCAAGCCAACCGAGUCACGUAGGGGCCGAUGGAGAUGACCCCCUUCCUAUGCCGCUCCGUCUGGUGUUGAAUCGUGAGGGCGGUGAAAUAGGCAAGGUCGAUGACGUGCCCGUCCGACAUAGACCAUAAAAAGUAGGCGUCAUGAGUGUUGACGACGCCAGUGCUCUCUCACCUUCUUGUAAUCGUGUGAGCCAAAAUGGCUUGUAGGUACCUCAAGGAUGGUGGGAGAACUAAUGCCUUGGAGUGGCUAGGAUUGUAGGAGGCCGCACCAGGGGCCAAAGUGUGCCAGCACUUCGAGGGAGAGAAGUAUAUGUGGCGAGUGAGAGCAUGUAGUUCAUUCUCCUCCUUGAACUCCUCCGUAUAUAAGCCUAGUGUAGCACCGAACUCUAGGACACUUAGCUGGCGGAUUAAUCCGCCUAGGUGAAAUUGGACCGUCCCGGGAUCAUCGUAUUUUGUCAUUAUGGUCUGAAGAUAGAACGUUGAACAUAGUUCCAUCGUAAGCUCGAGGUAUGUUGGCUCGAUGAUCCCAAAGAAUAGCUCCCAAGGGUCGGUGGUUAGGAAGGCCCAAAUCGCAUUAGCCAACUGAACUUGUUGUACGGCAGCCCAGUCAAUGCAGAGGCCCGCAAUUAAAGGUCAGGCCCUAAGUAUUUGGAAAAGUUCUUCCUAGGGCCAAUGGGGGAACUGCAGUAGAGGGUGACAAAUUUUCGUGGUUGGACCCGCGGAAGAUGACGCUCUCUUCCGUUUCUUGGAAGCAGGUACAGUGGUUUUCUU